rnacentral:lncRNA from 1 species
UUAAUUAUAACUUCUUUUUUACUGUUUUAUUAGUUCAAGAGGGGGAAAGGGGGAGGGGAAAGGAUAAAUAGUGCGUCUCACGUCGUAGAUGAGGAGUUUGCACAUGGUGGCCAUGGGACGUGCACGUGCAUGGGCAUAUAUAUAGAAUAUAUGGUACUUUUUUUUCCUUUUUUUUUUUUUUGAGGGGUUUGAAUACAUAAAUGGUUUAUUUUGCGAGUUAUAUAUGUAGGAUAGAUAGUUAGUUUGGAUGUGUAGGAUAGAUAGGUAGUUUGGUUGUGAGUUACAAAACGUUUAAGUGGUUUGAUGCAUUGGGCAUGCGCGCGCUUGGGUUGAUUAAUUUGAGGGCUAAACUGAGACUCGUCACAUUUAGAGCAUGUUUGACCCUGCUGAGCCGAAGUAUAAUUUUCUCGCUCAAGGUCUAUUGUUGGGUCACGAUUCUACUUAUGUUUUAGACAGCAAUGCCCAAGAGAAAAAAUCUACAGCUUUUGUUACAGCAAAAGCAGAAAUUAAAUUUUUGAACCUAAAUAAUCGAAAGUCUAAUUUAAUAUCUGCAGUUCAAUAUGACAUUUGCUUCCAAUCAGCAUCAUUUUUUAAAUAGCACUAUUUCGAACAACACGAUGCCUUACCACGGGAAAGACCCAGUAGACUGAGCUAGGCGCGAGUACACCUUUAAUUCGUAAAUUUAUGGCGUCGGUGGCUUUUUCGGCCUCCAACAUGAACUAUGGUUUGAGCGUGGUCCAUGAAACUUAGAAAAGAACCAUAUGGCACGAGAAAAUGGACAUUUAAUUUGGCCACGUGAGAAAAUAUUAUUUUAUUGUAAUAAGAAAGUGCUAAUUACUUAUAUAAUUUAUAGUCUAAAUAUUAAUAUGUUACGCGUAAUUGUUACUGCAUCAGCUAUAUAUUGAAUGGACCAGUCAAAAUGCUUUGGAUGUACUUUUCUGCAUAGAGAAAAGGAGUGGAUUCUUAUAAUCAUCUACCAGGGUUGAAAUCUUUUAACCUACUAUGCCUAGGCCAUUUGGUGACAAACAAAUUUUAUUUUCCAGCUAAAUUAUAUAGUAACAAGCACAUGGAAUGCAUACUUUUAAUAGGGAUGAAAAUAACUUUAAACGUGUUAUUAUAAUAAAGCUUGUCAGUUGUCACAUCUUAUUUUAAAAUUAACUAUUCAGCGAAACUUUAGUUGUAUUAGAUCAAGCAUUUGUAUUAUUUUUGCAUGGAGAAAGAGUGGAGUCUACAGGUUCAUUUUAGGUCUUCAGUAAGGACUUGUUUGGUUCAAGAGUAGAAUUAGAACGAAUAAUGGAAUGAGAAUGAAUUGAAAUGACCCACUCCUCCAAGACGUUUGGUUUAUUUGUGGAUUGAGAAUUGGAAUGAGUUAUUCACAUUUCAUUAUUUGGUUCGUAUAAACUAAAAAAAUUAUAGAAUAUUAUAAUACUAAUUUUACUCUCAAAUAUAAAUUUAUAUUAUUUAAAAUUUAUGAAAAAUAUAAUACUAUUCUCUAAUAAGUUUUCCAAAACAAAUAUCAAAUUUAUUUUUAAAAUUUUUUAUUGAUGUGGGUUAGGGGCUGGGUUUUGAGAGAGGAUAGGUUUUUGUUUAUUUUUGACGAGAAAGGGGUGAAGAGAAGGACGGUGAGAUGGUCACAUGGGCUUCGAGAACUUAGUAGGCUUCCGGAAUGAAAUCUCAAUCCGGGCUAGAAGAUCGAAAUCAAGUUGAAGGCUAAUGGGCCAUUCCUAUUCCAGUCCGGAAUAGAAAUCUCAAACCGAUUCAUGCGAACCAAACAAAAUUAAUCGGAUUUGAUCAAACCGAUUCCCAUUUCAUACCCAAAAUGGAUGAACCAAACAAGCCCUAAGAGUUAUUAUUAUGAUUUUUUUUUUCUAAUUUGUCAAAUACUAAUACAACCACGAAGAUACCUAAAGAGAAAUAGGAACGGGACGAAUCUGCCACUUUCUUAUGUCUCUGCGAUUCAUGCAAAAGAUGGCGAGUCCAAACUCAUUUUCUCACUCAAUUGAGGCCUAGUUUUGCCCGGCGGUGCAGCUUGCUUUCUGGUCGCACUUUGCUUGCUAACGCCAAAGCUUUCGUUCAGAGCUUCUGCAGUAAUGUGAUAUGCAAACCACACACACGCACGCAGGCACACACACAGACACGCACGCACGCACACACACAUGCACGCACGCACACGCGCACGCGCACACAAAAACACAUAUUCUAAUUUACACACACACAAUUUGAGCGUGUUUGGUUCGUUUCUUUUUCACCCUGGAAUCGGAAUAGAAAUGGGUGAAUCUAUUUGUAGGUCUUUGAUAGACAGGAGUUCCAUUCCGAUUCCGAUUUUCGAAUGGAAUGGAAAUCUCUUAAUCACCAUUUUUUUCAAUCCGGCCUAGAAGACUGGAUUGAAAGUUGAAUCCGGACGGAAUGGAUAUUUAUUCGAAUUAAAUUUAUUUUUUUAAUUUUUUUAAUUAAAAUAUGAGUUUAAAUUUAAAAAUUAAAUAUAUAAUUUUAAAUAUUAAUUUGAAUUUGAAUUUGAAUUAAAAAUUAAAAUUUCAUCAAGUAUUUUGAAUCUAACUUAUGAUUUUGAAUUUAAAUUAAAUUUUAAUUUAUAUAAAUUUUUAUUAUAAUUUUAUUUAAAACUUAAAUUAAAUUUAUAGAUUCAAAUUAAAAUUUAAAUUGUAAUUUUAAGUUUGAAUUUGAAUAAAUCAAAAUUUAGUUUUAUAUUUUGAAUUAUCCACUCAACUUCAAAGUUUAAUUUUUUUUUUUAAAGAUUUAAAAUUUUGACAUUAUUUUAAAAUUUUGAUGUAAAUUUUUAAUAUUUAAUUUUCAAUUUGAAUUUAAAUUAAUAUAUUAUAAAGAUAAAGUUAGUAUAUUAAUUUGAUUACGUUUUUUAUAUCUACAUGAACAAAACAGCGACAAUGAGAAUGAUUUAUUCUAAUUCCGAUUCACGUGAUGAACCAAACAGAAUUAAAUAAUAAGUCAUUCUAAUUUCGAUUCUAACUUAUUUCGAUUCCGAUUCCGACUUCCGAACCAGACACGCCCAAAAAUUCCAAUUUUUGCCCGCAAAACACUGUAGGCUCAGGCCGAGGUGCCAAGUAGGCCUUCUAUUUAGUGUUGUUUUAUAAUACGAUUUAAGGUUUAUUAAAUUAAUAAUUUAUGUGGGCCUGAAGCCCAGUAUUCAAACUAAAUUGGGCGGAAGCGCGGGAUAAUUAGAUAUCUCAGCCCAACUCAACUGCUGUUUCUUCUACCGCUUCCAUUCUCCGCUCCUCGGGGGCUGCACCGAACAUUCUCUUCCUCCGCAUCACGAAGGGUCGUUCGCCACCCACCGUUCUCGUCGAACUCCACCCACCACCACCACCACCACAAUUCUCGUCCUUCGCUCCUCUUCGCGAUCCUUCCAUGGCAUUCGAGGGUGUUCGUGAGCCAUCUCUCCCUCCCUCCCUCUCUCUUUCACCACCAACAUGGAAGCUUCAAGCAGCAGCAGCAGCAGCAGCAGAAGCAGAAGCACUUCGUCUUCUUCUUCUCCUCCUCCUCCGCCGCAGCCGACGAUCUCCUACCGCAUCGGCGAAUCCAUGGCCAACGCCGCGUCCCCGGAGGCGAGGGACGACGCCAUUUCCUGCCUCGUCGUCCUCCUCACCUUCUGGAUCUUAGGUCUCUCUCUCUGUCUCUCUCUCUCUCUCUCUCUCUCUCUCUCUCUGUGCGUGUGUGUGUGUAUGUGUAUUUGGCUCUUUUUAUCAAUGUCGAUUUCGAGCAGUUUCGAUGGCGACGAUCCUUGGAUUCUACGGACCGGUCGACAUCGUAGUCGGCCCCAAUUACUCGCGGCUCCUCCGAGCCAGCUCGAUCUUCGUUCGGGAUAUAAAGGUCGGUAUCAAACCCUAAAUCCUUCGCUUCUUCAACCUUAAGCUUUGCUUGAUGGGGCUGCAUGAUCGUUCUCCUCCGAUCACAGGUGAAAGCGGAAGAGGGAUCAACGGAUGGGCCGAUGCUUUAUGGAUUUCGCGAGCCUCCGCCGCUUGAUGUGCGAGCCUCAUGGUUAGAGACCCACAAUGGAUCUGUUCCGGCGAAUUUUCACAAGGUACUCGAGGAACUAAAAAUUUGGUAUUGCAAUAUGUUUGUUGAAAAAACUCUUUGGAUUGUUACCUGCGUUUGUUUCCAAUAUGAAGUGGUAAAAAGCUCUUUUGCUUCUGAGCAGCUCGAGCUUCACUUUGUUUGCAACUCCAUUUUAGCGUGCCCAUUUACUGAAAGAGCUUGAUCUUGAUUUAAUAUAUGUUUGUGUGUCUUUGCAUGCAUGUUAGUCUAACAGGCCGAGCUUGAGCUUGAUUUGCCCUGGUUUAACUCAAGUCAAGUUUGAAUUAAGAUUAAGCUGACCUGCAUGCAAUCGAGCCGAACCGAGGCAGUUUACACCCCUACUGACUUGCAGGAUCAUUGUAGUUUUGUUUCUAAAUAGUAUAUAAACUCUUCGUGGAGCAGGAAUGGAUAUAUUAUUUCAACGAAGGAACGCAGAUAGAAAUCUUCUACAGCGUGAAGUCUGAAGGAUCUUAUCCAUUGAACCUCGUUAUUGCCCAAGGCAAGGAGAACCGCCAAUUUCAUCGUAACUUGUUAAUGCCUUGAAUUAUUUCCUUGUAUGAUUCAGUGAUUUGGUUCGGAAGUUAUUCACCAGUUAAGUACUAAUCGAGUUGUUCGUUUUGGAUCUGAGCGACUACAUGAUAACAUGUCUGUGAAUUUGACUUGGUGGAAGAUAGGAAAGUGCAACUAUCUUAUACAAAUCUCCAAUUCUGCUGCUUUAUUUUUAUUGCUUACUUCUUACUAUCUAUCUUGAUAGUCUCUUUUGGUGUUAGGUAAGGAAAAUCUUUUUCAGUGGGUUGAGAACCCAUUACGUCCUGAUACCACGUUGUCAUGGAACUUGAUACACGGUAAGGAUUAUAAGGUUGCUUGACUUUGUCAAAGAUGGUCGCGUAUAACUCAAGCUCUAAUGAAGUACACUGUAAUUACAGGAGAUGGUGUGAUUCACCAGAAAAUUGAAAAGCCUUCUGACUAUUAUGUUGCCGUGAGCAAUUUGCAUAAUUUGGAAAUAGAGGUGCAGUGUCUCCUCACUUGAAUAUGUGCAGAGAUUAAUUUUUGCAUUUUUCUUCUUUCACAGAAUCAAUCAUGACUUUUCAGCCUGAUUUCACUUACUUCCAGUUAAUAGGUACAAGUUAGUACUACAUUACACAUAUCUGUGGCGCAUGAAAAAGUAAUAGAAUGAUGUCUUCUUGAUUGAUAGAUGGCAUUUUUAAUGAGUUUGGGUCAUGCUUGUCAUAUUAUUAAGCUUGGUCAUGCUUGUCAUUUUAUCAUGCAAUUUCUUCAUUGCUCAAAUGGAGUUUUGUGUUGCAGGCACAGUUGACUUUUAGAAUUCAGGCUUUGUUCUACAAUACAACUGGAGCAUAUUUCAAGUGCUCGCUGGGUCACAGGCUAUGUGCUCUGAAAUUGUUCUUUCUCGAGGAGAAUGUAGCAAUCCUUGCAUCAGGCCCAAGAAAGGUGAAAAACUUCACUAGUCUUCUGCGUAUUACAUUUCCAACGCAGCUCUUUAUCUUGUGUAAAUUAACCUGCCAAAUAAUAUUCAGCUUCAGGAAGGGAAAUCUGAUGAAUGGUACAUUAAACUAUCAUAUGGUCCGCGAUGGAUAACUUAUUUUGUUGGAUCAGGUACGUGGUAAAGUACCCAUCUAUUCUCCAAUCUAUCUGCUACUCUAUGGGCCUGUUUGGCCAAUCUAGAGCUUCUGCAUAAAUGCUGCUAAAAUAGAGCUAUUGUAGAAGAAGCGGAAGCUUCAAUUGGAGAUCUAUUCUUCAGCCCAAAACGACUCGGCCUAUUUGUUCAGCCUUCUUUCUAAUAGCUUCUGCUUUUAAAAGUAGAGAAGCCAUUUGAGAUGCUAGGUCAAAUAGGUAGUAAUUAAUCUUUUUCUCUAUUCACGUGUAGGUCUAAUGACUCUAGCUAUUCUACUCAUCUACAAGAUAUUCACCAGUUUUCAAUUCAUGUUUGGAUAUAAUACGAGUCAUCAAACUACUUCAACCCCAAAUGAAACAAGCCCUCUACUGGCUAACAAAGAAGACGACGGUACGAGUUUGGGAUCAUCUUAUGAAUCAGUUUCUCAUGAUGAGGGAGAAGAUAUUGAGGAAUUUCUUAAAGCAGCACCAUCAAAGCCAUUAGAAGAGGUCGAGAGCAGUGAUCAGUCCCAACACCUUUGCGUGAUCUGCUGCGAAGCUCGGAAGGAUUGUUUCUUUCUUCCUUGUGGGCAUUCCACUACAUGCUAUACCUGUGGGUUGAGGUAAGAAUUUGACUUCAGAACUUUUAGCCUAGCUUCUGGAAGAACUCUCUGCUUCAAAAAGUAGCAAAUAAGCAUUUGCAAAGCGAAAGUCAUGAGCAUUGCUAUACGAAAAGCUGAAUAAGCUUUUUGGGACACUAAAAGUAUUAAAUGAUUUGAAACUUGUGCUUCUACUUGCCACUGAAAGCUGUUUGGGGGAUUUUAAUCAAAAGGCUCGUGACUGCUUUUCUUAUUCACUCUACUCAAACAACAAACCUCUAGACCGAACAAAGCCAAAAUCAGCACCACUCAAUGAAGUUCUUUGGUCAUAACAGUAUAACUGAAGAAAAUGCUUUGUAAGAUCAUGCAUAUCAAGUUUAUUUGGAGCUUGCAGGAUUUUGGAGGAGGCUCAGACGUGUCCUAUCUGUCGGAGGAAGAUGAAGAAAGUGAGAAGAAUCUUCACAGUCUAACACUCUGAAGCAAUGAAGCAAGCAUGCUUCCUUAUGCUGUAUCCUCUUGUGAACUCGUAAAUCAGCGUUGUAUAAAAUAAGAAACAUCCUCUUGUGAACUCGUAAAUCAGCAUUGUAUAAAAUAUGAAAUAUCCUCUUGUGAACUCGUAAAUCAGCAUUGUAUAAAAUAUGAAAUAUCCUCUUGUGAACUCGUAAAUCAGCAUUGUAUUAAAUAUGAAAUAUGCCAUCAUGUGAGUAUAUACAUAUGUUGCAAGCAUAUGAUACAUUCAGUUGAAGUAAGGCCAUUUACAGAAUAGAAACUAGCGGCAUGCUCAUGAUGUAUUAACGGGUAAAAACUCUAUUGGGUUGAGUCAUUUUGGAAUUUUGAUAAAAUAUUGUUUGAAUAAAACAUCUUCUAAGAAUCUAUCGUGAAUUAAAGGCUAGAGGCAAUGAGCUUCUAGGUAUAAGCGCAACGGAAAUCGAACCUCUAAUCUCGCAACAGCUAUUUGGGGUGCUUCAACAAAUCAAAACAAGCCACUAAACAAAUAUAGUUAACAUAUCUAACAUGGUGGGGACGACUACUAUAUACUGAACAACUUAAUGACAUCGACCUUUUAUCGUAUUAAACAAAUAUAUACAAAACCUCGUAUAUCUUCAUUAUUCAACUAAAAUAAAAUAAUCCAUUAAAAAAAGAGCAAAAAUUGAAUCGCCCACCGUGGGGCUCGAACCCACGACCACAAGGUUAAGAGCCUUGCGCUCUACCUACUGAGCUAGACGGGCUGGUUAAAUACAACAAUCAAUUUUUCAUAAAAAUAAUUUAUCACAAUGAUCAUCUAACUAAAAGAGCACCCCAGUUUCUCCUGAAAAUAACCCCGCCACCCACCUCGGGUCCCCAGCGCACGCAGGAGCACAACCCAACUCCCUCGUCUCCGAUCUCUCCACAUUUCCCCCGCACCCUGACAUGCCGCGAAGCACCCCGCUCCCUCUCCUAAUUUAGCUCACCGCCUCCCUCUCAUCGUAGUUCGUAAACCCCAUUCCCUACCCCCAUGGCUUCGUGGCUCAAGGUCGCCGAAGGUACCCCGAUCUCCUUCCCCUUCCCCUCCUCCUCCUCCUCCUCCUCCUCCAAUCUCCGAUCUCUUCCCCUUCGAUCCGUUUCCUACCGAUGCAUUGGAACCGGAUCAUCGAUCGCAUCUGUGGUUUUUUUAAAAAAAUUUGUACGAGGAAUUGGUUCGAUCGACCUCUCGCUCUUCGAAUGAUGCGUUGGGGUGCUGAGUUUGAUUUGUAACGAUGAAGUUUUAGUGUCGUUUGAUGUGGUAGAUCUCAGUGGAAAAGAGCGUGGUGUGUAAAUUUUACGCGUCAUGAUACGAGAUCUGGUUUGGGAUUAGCUAAUUAUACGUAGCUGAAUUGGUAUGGCUCCCGCGAUUCGUCUAUAAGCUAGUACUCUUCUGAUCUAAUUUCAUCUAUAUCUAGAUACUCGGUGCUGUUGAUUCACUCUUAUGUCAAUUACUAUUGCCUCAGAAUCAAAUACAGCUGCACUUGUGUCAUUUAGCUGGCGAAAUCAGUUUGGUCACUAGAUUCGUCCUCUCUUUUAGCGUAUGAUUACUUAUGAUUAAGAUGAAAACGGCGAAUUUGGUCAUACCUAGUUUUUUCUUUUGCUGGCAAACAAGAUUGCUGUACGUCUCAGAGCAUGCUUAAGAAGUCAAUUGAUACAAAUUGAAGAUUCUGCAAGAGUAAGACGAAAAAGAGUAGUUAAGUAGAUAUAAUGGCUUCUUGUGCAGAUGCCAGUGGAAGCUUCCAAAUCAUUUUGAUCAAAUUUUGCUGCACUAACUAGUUCGCCGAAGGGGUACUCUUUAGCCUCAGUUGUUCUUGGUUUAGUUGAAUAAACCUUGUUUGAGGUAGUAAUAUGCCUUUUUUAAACAAGAGUUGAACAUAAUUAGAGUGUUUGGGAUACUCGGACCUAAACAGGCAUGUUUAAUAUCAUCCAUUUUGACAUACAUGCUGUUGAUCUGCUUUGGGAUUUUUAGUUGUUUUUCUUAUUCAUGUGCUUCCCUCAUACUUCUUUAUAUGUUAUUUAUUUUAUUGUGUUCUUUUUUUUUCUUUUUUCUUUUUUGGUUGUUUAGCAUUUUUGUGUAUAGUAUCUGCAUAGCUUUACUCUUGCAACAAGCAUAAAGUUUUAGUACGAAGAUGCUAAGAUUUUCAAAUGGCCUAAGCAGACCUACUAGAAGUUGUUGAUCGGCGAGCGAAACUUGUUGUUAGUGAGUUGUCAGAGGAGCAGUCUGAAUCACAGGCUCCAGGUACAUAGACCUUUCUUCCUGGAACACCGGCUUGUUGUGUGCUACCUUUCUAGCAAAGAGCUAACAUUGUGGUUCCUUUGGUAUAUUCACCUUUUUUUUUUUGGCCACUAUGUCUAUUUCUUAUGCUCUUUUUUGCCUUUUCCUCUACGAUAAGCUACCAAUGGUCAAGACAGUCAAUCCCGGAAGACGAGAUCACGGGAAAAGGUCAUUGGUUAAGUUACAACGUGCUUCCAGAAUAUUAGCCUUAUUAUUUUUAUUCCAAUCCAUAAAUGAUUCACUAUAUUUACUGUUCUAUAUAAUUUUUGCUUGCAGAGUCAAUUAAAGUUCUCCAACAUUGAAAAAUCUAAAAGCAUACUACCUCAAGCUGACCGGAAAAGCAAACAGUUAUUAGUUCCACAUGGAAAAGUUGAUGAAAUCAGUGCCUCUAAAACUGAUGAUGUUAAUAAUAAUGAAUCUACUAAUGCACCAGCAUCUGCUAAUCAGAAAGAUGCAGCAGUAUUAGUUACUGAAAAUGAGAGUGGUGAAAACACUGUUGACAAUAUGGUCGAAGUCCCACUGACAGAAGACAACAUUGAGAGCGCAGCUUCCUCUGCUAACCAGGAUGCUCUGGCUACAACUUCAACAGAUGAGAAUGAAGGGUUUCCUCUGCUGGCAGACAGGGAGAUCGAAGUUGACAGUGGAGAUCAUUCCACCAAUGGUGAUCUGACUGUCAGUGCGGUGGGAGAAAAUAUUUCCUUGACUGUUAACCAAGAGAAAACUGUUCCUGAAAUAGUUGAGAAACAGAGCAAUAGUCAUUCCCAAGAAACUGAGCCGGAUAUAAUAGAGACCUCACAAAAUGUAAACAAUCAGCAAGAGAAUAAAACGGAUGCCUCUGCCAUGAAAGUUCAGGACCAACUUGAUGAGGUAGUGUUCCUGUUAUCUGAAAAGGUCACACUUGGCUGCAUGCUUAUGUUGGUGGCCUAUAGAAUACUGUUGGCUGAUUGUUUGGCUUGUUUUGCAGGCUCAAGGAUUGCUUAAGACAGCCGUUAAAACUGGUCAAGCAAAAGAGGCUAGAUUAGCCCGGGUAAGGAACAUCAUAAAAUUUCUGUCCAAACUUUUAUGUGUUGUAGAAGCUGACUUGUAAAUGCAUUAUUAAACAUGUUCAUUUGCUGUGCAUGCGUACAUUUUGCUCUUUUCCAGACAUGUAAAGUUGUGUUUAUUUAUUAAAUUCAUGUUAUUCUUGCAAGAUUUUUUGGACAAGAUUUAGAACACGUGUUUGGAAAGGCAUGCAGCUUAUCUAUCUAGUCACCCAACUUUGGAAGAACAUGUCAUUCCAAACAAGCUCAAAGCAAUGGAUUUUUUUUUUUUCUUAUGGGAAUUGCGUCUCUCUUUUAUUUAGUUUUGGCCUUAAACUGUCUUCCCAUCUACUUGGGCGUAGCUUUUAGUAAGGCUUUUACUGGCUUUUGAUGAGGUUGAUGUUGUAAAUCUAAAUAAGCAGUUUCUUCAGUAGUUGCCAAACAACUAAUGGUGGUAUUUGUUAUUUCAUAUAGUCGAGCAUUUUAAAAUAUUUGGUCAUAUAAUAAAAUCAAUUUGCAUAAUGUGUAAAAUAAAUAUAGCCGUGUACUUCGUAUCUUGACUUAUAUCAUUUGGUUCUUUGAACCCAUAUCAAUUUCUUAUAUAUCUUUCAUUAUUUGUUGAUCCACUCUCUUGUUGAUCGACAGGUUUGUGCUGGACUUCAAUCCCGUCUUCAAGAAUACAAAUCAGAGAACGCACAGCUUGAGGAACUUCUUGUUCAAGAGGUAAAACUGUUUUUUUUUUUAAAUUUUUUAAUUUUUCUAAGUGAAACACCAAUUAUUAAUUUCAUUAUGAUUUAUGAAACAUGAAACAGAGAGAGAGGAAUAGUUCAUGUGAAGCUCACAUAAAGCAGCUUCAACAUGAUUUAUCUGCAUCCAGGAUGGAAGCAGCAAGAGUGGAGUCAAAUAUGGCUGAUGCUUUGGCUUCAAAAAAUUCUGAAAUUGAAUCUCUUGUCAGUUCUAUGGAUGCUAUGAAGAAACAAGCUGCUGCUUCUGAAGGAAAGCUUGCCUCUGUACAGGUGCCUUUUUCUUGCAGUUUCCUUCAUUUGAGGGUUCAUAAAGAAAUAAUAUUUACAUUGUGUCUCCAGCAUUCUUGUUUUAACAUGGUGUCUCCAGCAUUCUUUUCAAAAUAUUAGGACAACGAAAUUACACUUGCCUUUUCUUAAAAAGAGGUUCAUGGUGCCAAAUGGUGUAACAAUAUUAUAAGUCGGUGAAACCAAUAUCUGAAUUGUGAUUAAACCUCUUAAAAGUCCCAGGCAUAACACAAACUCUUUUAUUUGGCUUUUACUCAAUUCUCUGGUAUCUGAAUUGUAUAUAAACAUCUUAGGAAUCCAAGGCACUCCAAUACCACAAUACUAAUGCGAACUCUAAUAUUUAGCUUAUAUAUUUAAGAUAAUUUAGAAUAGUUGGAUACUUGGAUGCUUCUAUGUCAAUAUUCAUGCCUUCUUAGCAUGCUUCUGAAUCUGCUUUGUAAGCCGAUAUUUUUAUUUGGAUUUCCCACAAUCUUAGGCUUUCAAUCAUCAUGAAGCAAAACGAGUUCUUCCUUAUUUUACACAUCUUCAUAUCUCUUAAUUUUUGAAGAUCCACCACCUUGUCACAUUUUAUACUGUUUAAACCAGGCAGACUUGGAGAAUUUGAGGAGAAACCGUGAACUGACAGAGACUCGGAUGAUCCAGGUAUAUAAUUCUUAGAUUUAGAGAGAAUUAGGUUUUACUGUGAUGUUACUUUAACGUCCUUUCUAAGAAUAUUAACAAUUUGUCUUUUUGCAUGUUAUAGGCUCUAAGAGAGGAACUUGCUUCUGCAGAGCGCAGAGCUGAAGAAGAGCGUACUGCACAUAAUGCCACAAAGAUGGUAUUUCCUUAAAACUGUUGGAUGUUUUCCCAUUAUCAUCCCUUCUCUUUUCCCCUCCAUUUUUGGCUUAUGAUCAGGCAUUAUACAGACAGCAGUAGAGAGAGAGGUAGAGCUAGAGCACCGGGCUGUUGAGGCAUCAAAUGCUCUUGCUAGAAUCCAGGUAAUUUAAUGAAGUACAAGUAAGAAUUUGCAUGUUAUCUUUUCUCAGUGAAAGACCUUACCGGGGUCUUAUCUUCUUCUGCUUUUCACUAGUAAGCCCUUCUUAGGGCAUAGGGCUUUUCAAGGAGAGAGAUUUAAUUUCUUUUCCUUUCUCACAAGACCAUCAAUUUUCCCGGUUUUUGACGACCUGUGUUGUUCUCCACAUUAUCACUAGCCAAAAUUACUUGCUAUUUGCAUUUGUAUCUUUAUGCUAUUGAAAGUGAUCACUUGGCUGCUUCUCAUCUAUCAAGUCUUCGUAGUUCUAAUCACCCAAGAUGAGCUGAACAAACCCUAUUAACUUAUAUCUUUGUGUUACUCAUUGCAUUAGGUGUUCCAAAAAAAUAGUUACUUUGUUUCACAAACAUCUAUUUAGCGUGUUUAUUAGAUUUUGACGAGCUCAUUAGUCUUCAGAGAGCUGCAGAUGAAAGCACAUCAAGGGCAACUGAAUUGGAGCAGAAAGUGGCUUUGCUUGAGGUAUUUUGGGUCUUUCAUUGCUCAUUAGCUUUCAGGAAGUUUUAAACUGGUGAACUUUUUGAUUUCUGAUGGAUAUCCCUAUAUUACCCUAGGUUGAAAAUACAUCGCUGCAGCAAGAGUUACAAGACAUGGAAGCUCGUAACCGCCGCUUCCAGAAGAAGCCUUCUGAAGAAGCUAACCAAAUUCUUCAGGUAAGAAGCACUGUAGUACAACGUUCAAAGAUGCUGCACUGACAUCAUUUUAUUUCAAUAUCAUGCUACCUUGUUGAAAAUCUUGUGCAUUUCAAAAUAAAGAUGCAGGCAUGGCAGGAAGAAGCCGAACGUGCGCGUCAUGGCCAAAGAGAAGCAGAAAACAAGCUUUCUUCUUUGGAGGUAAUCGUUUGUCUUUACUACGGAAGUUCGUAUCUUCUUUUUUGAACUUUAAAUACCUUUCUGAAAGUACACUCUUGUCUUUACUAUGAAAGUUCUUAUCUUCUCUUUUGAAGUUUAGAUACCAUUCUGAAAGUGUGCACUCUCAGUUUACUUUUCAAUGAAGAAAAAUUCAUGGGUAUAGAGCUGAAAAUCUUGGUAGCGCUAAAAUACUGCUAAAACUAGUCAAGACAGUAAUUUGAAAUUUAUGCUUUAAAAAUUGUAGUACUCUUAUUAUCUUCUUUUUUUUUUUUUGGAAUGGACAUGAUUCUUUAAUUGUACUGUUCACUUUUGACUGGCAAUUAUCAUUUGCAACAUCUUCAUUUAUCACAUGACAGGUUGAGCUACAGAAGAUGCGAGUAGAAAUGGCUGGCAUGAAAAGGGACGCCGAGCAUUAUUCAAGACAGGUAAGUUAAUUGCUCUGCCUUUUUCUUGUGAGUAAACAGGCUAAUCUAAACAUUUCAUGCUAGUACUCUGCCCAAUUGGAAACUCCAUUAUUAAAAUUUCUCCUCUUGGAGACCAGUCAUCUGCCUCCAAAUUAUGAGAUGAUAAAACAGUUUCAUGACUUCAUGAUGAUUCUAUCUUUUAAGGCCAUCAAAAUAUCCUCGAAGAGAAAGAUGACAGCGGAAAUUUAAAUCUGAUACACAAGUUUCCAUAUUGCUUUCGAUAAAAAUGAUGAUAUCUAGGAUAAAGGAAGAGGAUAACUCUGAGGCUUGAUGUACAAUGGAGAGUUAAAUGAAUGGCCAUCUGAGCAACCAUACGAUGAAUUGGAACUUAGCAAAUUGCUUGUGAACUGGAAAGUGUCAUGAUAAAUUGAAUAGUAAGAUUAUGAGUAAAAGGUUAUGUAGGUUGAGUAGAUCUGGACUAUGAAGAAAUCAGUUUAGUUGCCUUUUUAGGACGUCUUACUGAUACAGCUUGUGGUGGUGAUAUGCAACAUGAAAAUAUAUGCUUUGUCUGUCGUUUUUGAGACCAAUGACAGGAAAUAUGAUCGCUGUCUACAGUAUAUAAUCCUUCUUUUUCUCCCUCUCUCUCUUUCUCUAGCAAACACAAAAGCACUGGUGCAUAGAUGCCCGUGCACAUACACAAAAACACAUUCUUGACACCUUAUCUUACAUUGACUAUGGCAUAAAACUCUCGAUCUUCUUUUGGCAGGAGCAUAUAGAAUUAGAGAAGCGAUAUCGUGAACUGACCGACUUGCUGGUAUGCCAUGGCUCGAAUUUUAUACCCUUCAAGGAAAUGUUUCCUUCAACAUUCUAGAGUUUGACUCUUCAUUUGAUCUUACAUGCAUGUGUUUCAACAUAUUUCAGUACCAUAAGCAAACCCAACUAGAAUCCAUGGCCAGUGAAAAAGCUGCGUUGGAGUUUCAACUAGAGAAAGAGAUAAGGCGCCUUCAAGAAGCACAGGUUAGCGAUCAGCUUCUCUCCUGAUUUUGCUAAGAAACGGUUUCUUGUAUAUGUUCUUAUCACAUCAAAACUCAUCAUAUGAUGCUAUGGUGACUUUGAUUAUCUGUUUGAUAGGUAGAAGCCGAAAGGAGUAGAGUUGCGCGCAGAUCAGUGUCAUCAUGGGAAGAAGAUACUGAUAUAAAAGCACUCGAGUAUGCAGUCCUUUCUCAGUAACCGCAGGUAUGACUAGACCUGAGCAAAUCCUAGGUUGAGCAUGGUCAAGAUCAUGGAUUAAGAAAAAAUUUCAUGGCCCGGGAUUUAGCUGCUUUUUUAAGCCUGAGACAGGUCCAGUGAGCUCAAAAAUGGUUGCGCUGGGUCAACAAAAGAAUGUGAAGACCUGAGCUUGAGCUGAAUUUUCUUGGGCAUCAGAUUUUGAGACUCACCUGGCCCGGUGAAAUGGGUUGAUUCUUCUGACUGGGCCAAAAAAACUGGGCCUGGCAGGUGGGGCCAGGUGGCUUGGACCUUCUUUUGCUCAGAUCUAGAUGUAUCUUUUCAUGCAUGGAUAUGAUUCUCGUAAAUCACUGGACAACUAAUAGGUGCAUUACAGGCCUCUACCUUUACACCACCGGCAUAUGGCUGCAGCAAGCAUACAAGUCUCUGUUCUUCUCUCUCGCUUCCCCCCUCUCUCAACUUCCCCCUUCCUGCCACCCCACCCCCCAAAAAAACCUCCUUUUUGGUUUCAUUAUUUGUUUUGAUAUUUUCUCUUGCAGUUGCAAAAGGCUGCUAAGCUUCUAGACUCAGGAGCCGUACGGGCUACUAGAUUUUUGUGGCGGUAUCCCGUUGCUAGAGUCAUCCUACUCUUCUAUCUGGCAAGAACUUCCUUCUUUUUCACUUUCUCUAUCUAUUUUACUUUCUCUAUCUAAUGCGUAUAAAUCGGAAAAAGCCUCUAAACUGCGUUCGCAUAUGAUUAUGUGCAGGUGUUUGUGCAUCUCUUCUUGAUGUAUCUCUUACAUCGCUUGCAGGUGUGCAUGCUUUUUAGGCUACACAAUCACCGUUAUGAUUUUAAUUGUUUUGUUGUAGGAAAUUGUCUUUCGGAGACAAUCAGUUCUUUUCUCGUAACAAUUCUCAGAGUCCCUCGUGGUUGUCUGAUUGAAUCUUUCAAAAAUUAGGACCUCCAUUGAAAACAUUGCUUCUUAAGAAGCCGUGUAUGUUGUAGCAUGUUCGUAAUAUGUAUAUAUGUUUUUUAAUUCUCAGGAACAAGCCGACGAUAUUUCUUCCAGAGAAGUUGCAGCAUCUCUCGGACUCGGCAACUCAAGCUUGCCGUAGGUUUCCUCGUAGUUGCUCAUCCCGAGGCCCAUUCCUUUCUAAGGGGAUCUCUGGGGAUAAGAAAACUACUUAUGGCGGAUGCCCUCCCUCUUUUAUUUUUUACCCCUCUUCUGUAAAUCUGUUCUUGUUAUUUUGCUACUCUUUAAUCCAUUCUUUGAAGUUUCAUAUGAACCAACAAUUUGCUUCAGAUAUAUAUAGUGACAAAAAGAAGAUUCGUAUACAAUUGUAUGAAGGAAGCUUAUUUUAUGACUUCUUGAUUGUUCAUCUCUGUUAAGAUUAUUGGAUUCCGCUCAAAAUGUUGGGAUUGAACGUGAUUUAAUUUGGAAAAAUAUCUCUUCCUAAUCCAAGGGGGUCUCAGCCCCUUGUUUUGAAGUCAUUUGACCAACCCGUUGGAAUCUCUGGUUUUUGCGUAUCAACCCCAGUUUUCCCUUAUAGUGAUCUUUUUGUUUUGUUUUGUUUUGUUUUUAAUUUUUGUUUUGAUUUUUUUUUUUCUUUUUUUUUGGUCUCCCUUGGGACAAUGCCUGUGUGUCUCGCGCCCCUGAGUUUGUGAGGAAUUAAAUAAUUUAAAAUUGUUUAUAAUAUUUUUUUAAUAUUUUUAAAUUGUAGUUGGUAGUAACCGUAAUUUAAACAUGUAAAAAAAAUAAAAAAAUAUUCUUAAAAUUUUUUAGUUUUUUAUGGUAUAUUAAUAAAACUUUUAGUUAUUACGUUGUCAAAUUAAGUCUUAUUUAUGGUAUAUUAANUUAUAGAAUUUCACCUAAUUUUUUAGUUUUUUAUGGUAUAUUAAUAAAACUUUUAGUUAUUACGUUGUCAAAUUAAGUCUUAUUUAUGGUAUAUUAAUAAAAGAAUGAAAGAAAAAUUAGGUGAAAUUCUAUAAAAAUAUAAUAAUUAUUUAUGAAUACUUAAUAAAACAUAAUUAUUACUAUUGGUAUUGCAUAUUAAAUAUUUUCAAAACAAAUUAUGGUCCGUGACUCCGUGUUUAUCCUUUUCGUGUCGAGAAGAGAAUACGCGAGGCUUUCUCCCUUUCUUCGGCUCCACACACCUUUGUGGCUCCUCCCCCAAAAAAGAAAAAAAAAAAAAGAAAAAAAGGAAAAAUCCCAAAUUUAAAACCCUAAUUCCCCUCUAAGGUCUCUUCGUUCCAAAUUAAGCACACCAAUUUGGUGCUCCGCCCCCAAAGCUUCGAUCGAGAUCCAUCGCGGCGCCGAUCGCCGUCCCAUCGACCCGUGCCUCUACGAUUUCGCCCUCUUCUAGCUAGGGUUUCCAUCGAUCGGGGGCGAAAUCUAGGCUUUCACGAGGCAUGAGGUUUGAUGGAUGAUGAACGAUGCCGGAGCUGCGUAGCGGAGUGCGCAGGGGCCGAGCGAAGGCGAAUCCCGUAGCCCCGGCCGAGAGGCCGACUAAUCGGCGGCGGAGGGCGGUGCGGAACAAUCCCCCGGUCGCCGACGAGGAGGCUGCGCCGGCGCCGGCGAGGGCGGCGGACGAGAUCGGGCUCGCGGAGGGGGCGGGCGAAGGUGGUGGGGGCUUGGUUGGGGACGACAACAAGGAAGGGGUUGGGGAGAGGAGGAUGGAUGGUUGCGAUAGCGGGGGAAAGAGCGCGGAUAAGCUCCCCGGCGGUGAAGAUGAGGGGAGCACCGCUCCCCUUCCGGAAAAGGUGAGGGCUUUUUGCCAAUUUUGCGGUAUUUUUGGUGUUCCCUGAAAAUUUCUUGUGGUAUUUCCACUGGGAAUUGUAAGAAUUUCUUUAGAAGAAAAAAUUUGUUAGGGCGUUGCUGUUUCUCGGAUCAUCUAAAUAGUUUCUCCUUUGAUUCAGGUCCAAAUUGGCAAUUCACCAACUUAUAGAAUCGAGAGGAAGCUGGGAAAAGGAGGAUUUGGCCAAGUUUAUGUCGGCCGUCGUAUUACAGGAGCCAAUACAGCCGAUAGAAACGGUUCGAUGGCUUUAGAGGUGUGCAAUUUGUACUUGUUGUUGAAUUGUUGUUGUGGCAAAAUAACCAGUAGUUUUGUGAUUUUAACUUCUUGUAGUGUUGUCGUGGCGAAACAACCAAUAGCUUUUCUAGCAAUGGAUAAUGUUCUCUUGUCGUGUGCUAGGUGGCAUUAAAAUUUGAGCACCGAAGCAGCAAAGGAUGUAAUUACGGACCGCCUUAUGAAUGGCAAGUCUACAAGUAAGGGAAAUUGCAGCCUCUCCUCUUUUUAUGAGUUAACAUAACCUGAGUAUGAAUAAUAUUUACUUGUCUAAGACUACAUGAACUUUUCAUGUAGCACUCUCGGGGGGAUACAUGGGGUUCCGAGGGUCCACUUCAAAGGUCGCCAAGGGGAUUACUAUGUCAUGGUAAUUCGCUAUACUCAUGACCUUUCUGGACAUGUAAAUUUCUGUCUUCUACACUUGAUGCUAAAUGUCAGUUGCAUGUUGCAGGUUAUGGAUAUGCUUGGUCCAAGUCUUUGGGAUGUUUGGAAUAAUAAUUCCCACACGUGAGUUGUUUUAUCUCAAAACUUACGGAUUAAUUAAGUGUAUUGAAAUUUUAUUGUAACUUUAGCACUUACCUUUUCCAAAUUUGUGCAGAAUGUCCGUUGAAAUGGUUGCAUGUAUUGCUAUUGAAGCAAUCUCCAUACUAGAAAAGAUGCAUUCUAAAGGGUGUGUCACUAUUCUAAAUUGUUUUGACUACUCUCUUCGCCUUCUACUAUCAAAAAUCUUAUUAUUCUGUGUUGGCCACGAUUCGUGUGUAAUUGCAAAUUGUUAAUAAUGGCAGAUAUGUUCAUGGUGAUGUGAAGCCAGAAAACUUCUUACUUGGGCCGCCAGGAACUCCAGAAGAAAAGAAGCUCUUUCUUGUUGAUCUUGGAUUAGGUAUUAGUUGCGUUUAUUUGAUACAGAGUGGCAUGAUAUGUGGUUCUUUAUAUUCAUAUGUUCCGGACUUGUUGAUUGAUCAAUUUUUUGAAUAUUUUAUUGACAGCUACCAAGUGGAGGGAUAGUACAACUGGUCUGCACGUCGAGUAUGAUCAGAGACCAGAUGUUUUCAGGUUUUGUUCAUGGACUCCAUUGUCUCUCACGCCAUUGGACUCUUAUUAAAAGAUUUUAGACUCAGUUGCUCAUUUUAGAUCGUUCUUAUUGUUACAGUGUGGGUCAUAUGUUAUUACAAAUUGAUAUUGCAGGGGAACGGUGCGUUAUGCUAGUGUUCAUGCUCAUCUAGGAAGAAUAGGAAGUAGAAGAGAUGAUUUAGAAUCCCUUGCUUAUACACUGAUCUUUCUUCUUCGAGGCCGUCUACCUUGGCAAGGAUAUCAGGUAUUCUACUGUCUACUGAUAUAUAAUUAUUCAAAAUACGAGAAUUUUUCUCCCCCAUGCUUAGUGCACAAGAUUUCUCUUUUCAGGGAGAAAAUAAAGGUUUCCUUGUCUGCAAAAAGAAGAUGGCUACAUCACCAGAAUCUCUUUGUUGCUUUUGCCCAUCACCCUUCAGACAGUUUGUUGAGUAUGUGGUCAACUUAAAAUUUGACGAGGAACCUAAUUAUGCGAAGUGCAUAUCUCUUUUUGAUGGCAUAGUAGGUCCAAAUCCAGAUAUCAGGCCAAUAAAUACUGAAGGAGCUCAAAAGGUACAUCAAUGAUCUUUUCUUCCCCCUCUUAUUUGAAGAGGGAAAUGUGUUACUCUGGGACUAUAAAGUGCCUAAUCUUCAUUUGAACUUUGUAAAGCUUAUAUAUCAGGUUGGUCAAAAGAGAGGUCGCUUGAUGAUGGAAGAAGAGGAUGACGAGCAACCAAAGAAGAAGGUUAGGAUGGGAAUGCCUGCAACACAGUGGAUAAGUGUUUACAAUGCCCGGCGACCUAUGAAGCAGAGGUGAUUAGUAUUACUAUUUUGUGUUUACGCUUGAUAAAUUUUAGUUAGGAGAUUGGAGAAAUAUUUAAUUCCUAACUUUAUGCUUGCAGAUACCACUACAAUGUAGCAGAUUCGAGGCUUGUUCAGCAUAUUGAAAAAGGAAAUGAAGAUGGCUUAUAUAUCAGUUGCAUUUCAUCUUGUUCGAAUCUCUGGGCCCUAAUUAUGGAUGCAGGCACUGGUUUCAAUUCCCAAGCUUAUGAACUCUCACCACAAUUUCUUCACAAAGUGAGUUACGCUUGCACUAAUUUUAACCUUAUUGCUCUGGAAAAUGCUUUAAUAUUUUAAGGUUGUCAUUUUUCUACCUUUUAUUUUAUCUUCAAGUUUGUAAGUGUCUAAGAUACCUGUUUAAAUUUUUUGAAGGAAUGGAUUAUGGAUCAAUGGGAGAGAAACUACUAUAUUACUGCACUUGCUGGGGCAAACAAUGGAAGCUCCUUGGUAGUAAUGUCCAAAGGUAAAUUAGAGUAAAAUCUUUACCGCUUUAGGAAUUUUUGCCAUAAAUAAAGCUAUCAUACUGAUAGCCUAUCUCUUGAUUGAUCUUCUUCCAGGUACACAGUAUGCACAGCAGUCCUAUAAAGUUAGUGACUCCUUUCCUUUCAAAUGGAUAAAUAAAAAAUGGAAAGAGGGUUUCUAUGUCACUGCCAUGGCGACUGCUGGAAGCAGAUGGGGAGUUGUCAUGUCUCGGAAUGCAGGAUUCUCUGAUCAGGUAUUAGUCCUUCUGUCUUUUUCUUUUUUCUUUUUUUUUUUCUUUCAGAUUUACUAGUUUGUUUUCUCCUCCUCUUUUAGUUUUGCAAAGUACCAAGUGAGCUUUGAAAACUUAUACAAAUUUAUCAUGCUCUUUUGCCAGGUUGUUGAACUUGACUUCUUAUAUCCUAGUGAGGGUAUUCAUAGGAGGUGGGACAAUGGCUAUCGUAUAACAUCAACUGCUGCCACGUGGGACCAGGCCGCAUUCGUUUUGAGUGUACCAAGAAGGAAGCCCACGGAUGAAACUCAAGAGACACUAAGAACAUCUGCUUUUCCUAGCCAGCAUGUGAAGGUGGGUGUGUUACAUUUAAUUGUUUAAUUGCUUUUGUCUUGUAAUUGAUUUAAAUAUUGCAUAUAAUAUAUGGAUAGCCAAUGCACUCUCCUGUUGUCGCAACUUGAUCACUGAACUUUCACUUAAACAGCUUAGUGCCUAAAUAUCUAAUUUCUAAUAUUGCAACUCCAAACUUGACUGAAAAAAAGGAAGAAAAAAAUUCUUAUCUACGUUGACCUUUUGCUGUAAAAUAACCUUUUUAAUCCAAUAUCAAGUAAACCAAAAUAAGGAACCCAUUUUACAAGAGAAGUGGUAAAUUGGGCAAUUUACAAGAAGAAAAAAGAUUUUUUUUUAGAUGCCAGGGAUGGAAUUGCACUAUACGAGAAACAUCAGGGACUAAGUGUUGAAGUAAAAAGUUAGGGAUUAAGUUAAAGUAAGAAGUUAGGGACUAACUCACUGUAUCUGUAGGCAUUAUUCCUGUAUUUGUUUACAAAACAUGUCUAGUUGCUCUUUUCUUAUAAGCUGGAAACUCUGGUUAUUGCAGGAGAAGUGGGCAAAGAACCUCUACAUUGCAUCUGUUUGCUAUGGCCGCACAGUCUCAUAAUUUUACGUCAUUAUAUGUGGGGGUUUUUGAAGCUGUCUGAUCAACUUUAAAGUCGUGUUACUCUUGUAGUACGAGCGUGUUGCCCGCAUUAUGCAUCUUCUCUUUGUAUGUUGUGGCCCUUAUUUCAAUCUUAAGUAUUACCAUUUCACUUACCAGCUAAAGCUAACACAUCAUUAGUAUUACUGCCAAGGUUAAAAGAUGCCUCCCAUGAGCUGUCAAAUUUUGAUUGGUCUGUAGGCAUUUUUAAUUAUUAUUAAGCUUGUAUAGUUUAUGUUUCAGUGCCACUGGCAUUCACUUUAUUAGCCAGUUAUUGUCUGACUAUGCUGCAACUGAUAGCAUUUGUGCUCUUCUUCCUUAUGUUUUUUCAUAUCAGAACUUUGGAAUUUUAUUUUGAAGGAUUAAUAAUUGCUUGUUUAGAUUUUGUCUUGUUAGCUGACAAAUAUUUGGUUGCUUGAAUAUUCUUUCUCUAGUAUGAGGCUAGUCCUUAAGCAUAUGUUGUACAUUAUCUUGCUAGGAGUCUAUAUAGGUAUCUUCUUGUAUUUGCCUAUUAAACCUCGAAAUUGAGGUCAAUUCCCUUUUUUUACACAUCCUGAAUUAUUCACAUCUUGUUGAGAAGAUAUUGGGGUAUCAUCUUUUGUAAGGUCAUGUAAUACUGCUACAAUGUAUGAAAUUUCUUCUGUUCCCUGCUACUAUAAUUUAGUAUCUAUUUGGGGGAUAUACUUGCUUUUUUUUUUCUUUUCUGUAUUUUCUCGGGAUUGAUAUCUUAUUAUAAUGACAAUGUCCUCCUGUUAUAUGUGAAAACAUAUCCUUUAUCAAGUAUAUCACUGUAUUGCUUCUGUAUUAACUGAGUUUCAGCCGAUCAGAAUGUCUCCAGUAAAAGAGCCAGCCGCCCAAUUCACUAGGCUCACUAGGCUCUCACAAGUGGGCAGACCUACUACCUGUUUUUGCUAAUCAUAUGUGCUCAAAUCAGAGAGACAACUGGGUGACAACUGAGUCACCUGCUUCAAUCUUUGUUCUCUUUUUCCUUGUGGAUUUCCUUUCUUAUUUUACAGCAGGAAAGGUGUGCUCAUGCCUCCUGGUUCAUCUUCUAAACAGCAAACUAUAUGACAGGUAAGUUUGCAGUCAAAUGCUUGCGAUGAGAUAUGCAUAUCACUGCUGUUUUAUCUUAAAAUCAGAUGUCCAAAUGAUGAAAUCUCUUCAUAGUUCAUUAGAAUUUAUGUAGUUAUCAAUCUGGAUUUGCCACAUCUUUCAGCUUACAUUUACGCAGUCUUUUAUUCCUCAUGAAUAAUCUUUCUUUGGUUGUCUAAUUAUUUAAAUCAUCUUUUGCAAUUUAGCUGUGCACUCUAAUAUACAAAUAUAUCUAACAUGUUUGAUGCCUUAGGUUCCGCCUUGUUGGUACAAAUAUAUCUAACGUGUUUGAUGCCUUAGGUUCCACCUUGUUGGUUGGUUUUCAAAGCUGCAGCUUAAAGCCUCACUUGUAAUUCUAAAUUUCUUUUUAAUUUUAUGUUCGAUUUCUAUGUAUUGGAUUUGCCAGUGGAUGGGAGGUUGGUUGCAGACUCAAAUUCAACCAGACUCAAGUUUGAAAUAUGUGUUUUUGACUUUCACAUGUAUGGGAUUUGUUUGGCCUGGAAACAAUUUUACAAUAACUUACUCUCACUUUUUUCUUCCAAAAAUAAUGAGAGUUUGGAAACAAACCAACAAGACAAACGGAGAAGUCCGUCCACUGAUGUAUUCAAUUGCAUAAUAUUUAGUUACAGAAAACAAAAAUAGAAAUACAAGUGGUAGUAAAUGAUUACUUGUUUUUGUGGUUUCAUGUGGUUACCUUCCAUUACUUAGACAACCUUUCGAAUUGUUGAUGACGUGUGCGAUGCUAGAUUGUCAAAUGUUGCUGCCUCGAUAAAGACUAAAAAGAGCAUUGAUAGGUUGAAGUUGCUCAAUUGACUAAAUUUUUAAUGGAUUGGAUGAAGGUACUAUAUUAGUAUCUCUUUUAUCAUUAUCUGCCUUACACCAAUCCUCCCUAUAUUCUUCAUGCAGUUUUUGCUGUUUUUACUUUUCAGGCACUUAUAAUUGCUGGAUUUGGAGACUCGAGUAUUCCUCUCGUAAAUCUUACCCUGUAUUUGAGAAGUUCUUCCUUUCUUAGGCUGGCAUCCCAUAUAAUUCUGCAGAUAUUUUGCAAGUUCACACCCACAAAAUUUUCUUGAUCACUUUCACUCUGGUUUGAAGUGUACAGUGUGCUCCAUCUCUCUCCCUGUGAAAGUGCUCAGAAAAUAAAGAUGAUUUCUCUACUGGUGUUGAAUUCUUUUGGUGUUUUAUGCAGUCCUAAAGGAAUGUUUGUUCACUUAGCAAGGCUAUUCGAUUUUGUUUCACUUUUUGUUUGCACCCUUCCGUUGUUUUUACUCUACUCGGUCGUAACUAAACGAGUUUAUAAUUUUGCUAGCCCCUAGGUAUCUAAUGAUCUUCGGCCUAUGAUGCAGCUUCUAGUGGUCUUGCAAUUAUUGUUGCGAGACGGCACCUCUUGCUGUGGAAUGCUUUCGGUCGAACCCCAAGGUUCACUUUACAGAUCCCAACAGGACUCGACCAUUAGGCUAUCGACUUUCGGCGUUUGCCCGUGAAAUUGUGCUUCUUAACUACAUGAAGAGGAAAAUAGGAUAGUCUUCUUUUGAAGAAGAGAAAUAAGGGGAGCUGCGCCGGUGCAGACAUUCGUGCUUAUAUACAUGGUGCCUACCAUUACCAGUAGGGAUUGGGCUUAGCUGUUGGUACCGAAGCAAAAAUUUCUCGAGCAGCACGGAUGUAUUUGUUUUCAUGGUUCAGAAGGUUCAAAAUUUCAAAAGUGCUUUUAAUCUUCUCGCGGGAAGGGGGGGAACCGGGUGAUGCUCAAAUUCCAAACCCGUGUAGUCCACAAAACUGGGAAUAUGUAUAUCUUUUUUAUUUGAUUAUGAUGCGAUAAUCGGUCGAUGGGAAGUAUGGUUGAAAUUUUCGAAAAAGCAUAAUAACCGCUUCAAAAAUGGCUUUCUUCAAGAAGAAAAAUUAUCCAACAGUUGGAAUUCCUAAAAAUUAGGGCCGUGAGGGUCUUUAUAAAAGGAAAACCGCUUUAGUUGCAUUUGCGAAAGAAAAAGAUAACUCGUUUUGAAAUUGAAACGGAUCCCUGGACGUUGCCCGAGUUGCAAAAAGAGCCUGACUUUCGGGGAGAAAGCUGAAGUAAUUAACAGUUUAACACUUGCCAAUUAACUGAAGGAUAAAAUUCAAACCAAUGCAAGCAAAAAGUACAGCGGCGUUAUACAUGUAUUUCAACUCGCGCGGAGGUCAUAACAUCCUGAUAUAUAAAUUUAAGAUAAUAAACAGAUUAUAAUUCUCAUAUCAUUGAACUUCACAAAGCGGGGAUAGCUCAGUUGGGAGAGCGUCAGACUGAAGAUCUGAAGGUCGCGUGUUCGAUCCACGCUCACCGCAAUAAUAUAACAGUACUAAAAUUUUAUUUUUCCCUUACAUUCCCUCUCUACAGAGAGAGAGAGAGAGAGAGAGAGAGAGAGAGAAACAGUGAAGGAAGAGAGAAUUAUUCUCAGAUAUUUUGUAUGACAAUGACAAGGAAGAGCGAGUGGACAAAUGAACCACACAGCAAAAUCCAAUUUUAGUUGGGACUAAAAUGGCAGCCACUAUUUUCUGUUCUCAUCCAAUUUUGGUAAAGUAGAAGGUUAAGAACCACACCAUCCUUUUCUUUUCAAUUUUCCUCUUAAUUUCAAAUGUAGACUGGUGGCUUAAUGAUCCCACGUACCGAUUACAACCUAGUAGGAUAAUUAUCAUCUGCAGAAGCUAACGGAAAAGAAACAGCAAUCAUAAUCCCAUGAACCAAGAGAGAGUAUUUCUUGUGAUCCUGUUAACUUAGUAUAUUACACUCUUCCAGAGUUCUUCUAUCAUUUUGAAAUUAAUGGAGACACAGGUCUCCGAUACAGCACAAGGAAGUGCUUUUUUUUUCAAUAUCAGGUAGUAUGAAAGCGUGCUUUUAGCAGAAGCACUUGUCUUACUGCCAUCUUCUAGGGGGCUUGGCUGCAGAAGCUGUUAUUUGGCCGCUCAAAGACUUCGCGUGGCCUGAGGAGGUAAUAUGCUUUAAUGUUGUGAUACUACAAACCCUUAAUCUCAUAUGAUGCAAAAUACGAGAGCUGUUAAGAUAAAUAUUCAAAAGAGAGAUGAGCGUAGAGUAAGGUUGCGUACUUGAGGACUUCAAAGGAUCUUUCAAUUUCGGCCGGGAACUUGUCGGUUGCACACUCUUUGUUGGAAGCGAUCUGGUUAUCUUUGGCAGAGCUUUGCAACUGCAUUUAAAGCUUACUUUAAAUGCCUUAUCCUAUAAUAGAUCUUAAGGUUGGAAAAAGGAAGGAAAAAAAUCAACCAACAUCAUACACUUAUUUUCACUAGCACUGCUCAAUCAAUCUAUGACGGAAAAUUGCAUCAUCAUACACAAAGGAGCUAGAAGAGAAAAGUGAGGGAAAAAACAUUUCCUACAUGUAAAGACCAAAUUUACCUCUUAUCAAUAUUAGGAGAUGUGGUUGAAGAUAAAUAAAAAAAAAGCAUGUAAAUGAGAGGAUAAAAACAUGAAAAAUAACACACAAAAUUUCACAUAAUAUAGUUGUGUCAGUAAAAGGGUCAUCUCAGUUUGAGAGGAAAGCCACAUCCACAUAUAAAAUCUUAAAGCAGUCUGUACAUUUAAAAUGCAAGAUGUGUGUGUGUGUGUGAGAGAGAGAGAGAGAGAGCAUACGCUUUUUCUGUUGAGACUUCAGCUGGUUUGCCAGAAUGAAGGUAUGAAACAAACUCCAAAGCACUGCCUAAUGAACCAUCAGUUUCUCCGACUGAAAAUCCACCAUCAGAUACAUCACUUAACCUGUCUUCAUAAUCAGCUUCAUCCAAGCCGACAAGCUCAGCAUCAGCUGGUACACCUCUACCAUUUUCCCCUCCAUUUAGCUCAGCUUGUUUGUGAUUAUUAAAUUCGGAAUAACCCUCCGGAUCAAGAGAAACUCUACCAGUGGAUUUCACAAGUGUUCCACCAGCAAAUAGCUGGCCUUGUUGACUGAUCAAACCUAAGGAAGGAAUACCAGGAGAGGAGGACGAAUGCCUAAGUGAGUUACCACCGGCUCUUUCAAUGUUUCCAAUUGAAGUUCGACUUUUAAAAUCUUUAAGCAGAUGUAAUUGCUCGAUCUCUUCAUCUUUCUUUGCUAUUGUGUCUUUUAGAGAUGCUACCUGCGUACCAGAAGUGUCAAAUAAAAUCCCUGACUAAGCAUAAGUUAGUAUUGCUUAUCUGAACUACAGCACAAAAGUUUGCAAUGAGUACCUGAACUUAGAAUUAUGAUUUUAUGAUUUUAUUACCAAACCUUGCAAUAUUUUUGAUUAAAGUGCCUCUUUAUCAAAACUCAAUGAUAUUUUUAACCUUUUUAACAAAAAUUGUUCUGUUAGAAUUUCACUUGAAUUUUCUGAAAGCGCAUGUAUCAUAGAAUUAGAUAGUGCAAUCAUAACACUUUAUGUUUAGAUACCCAUUUCAAAUUCAAUAUAGUUCAGGAAUCUGUACAUGUUUAGCAAAAGAAAAUUAAGUACAGUCAGCACUAUAUACAAAUCUGCAGAGUUGAACCCUACUGUUCAAGAUGUUUCAGAUCACCAUAUGGUGGGUUUGUAACUAAAUAUAUACUGAUAUAAGAAUGGCUUUAGACAUAACAGAAAGUAGGCAAAGUGCUGAGAAGUGAGAUCUUGGGAGGUAAUGUUCCUGACCUGUUCCAGUAGCUCUUUAAUGUCCUUGCCUUCUUUGUUGCUCUUUGCAGCACCUAACUCAACUCCAGAUACCCUUUCAGCAAAUUUCAAUGUGCUUAUGGUUUCUGAAUACGAUUCAACAUCAGGAUUUAUCUGUACAAACAUUAAAGUCUUGGCCUGUCCACCUGAAAUAUAAGAAAGUUGUUAGUGGUGCAUGCCUGAUGAGCAAAAACAAAAUCUCAAGUUUUCAUGCCAAAUGGCCAUUUUACCCCCUCCCAUGUAAAAUAACUACUUGUGUCGGUACUAAGAGGGUUCAGAAUGGCCUUUUACAGGGGAAAACAGUUGCUUCCAAUUUUUUUGCUAGCAGCCUGGAUAAUCUUGCACUGUAUGAGCAAGUUCAGGGGCUAAAGUGUUUUAGCGAAAAGUUCAGGGACUAAGCUGCAAUAUCAGGAUAUUAAGAAGUAUCCAUAUUUCUAGUUUUAAAUCUUUCAUCGGAUAUAAUGCAGCAAACAAAUGCAUAUCAAUCAAUAUUGGCAAAAAAAAUUAAGGGCAUGCUACCUAAUGAGCUUUGAAGAACUUGAGUAAGUUUGCUGUUUCUGUAUGGAACAUGUGUACUCUUCUGUGCCAGGGCAAAUAUGACAUCUCCCAAAGCAGAUAGAGAUUUAUUAAUAUGCUGUGCUUCCUUGAGUCUGUCUCCAGUUGCUUCAGAGCGUUCAACUCUCUCACUUCCGGCAAGAUCAAUUAGAUGGAGACAACCUCGGGAAGUGGAUCCAUUCUUCAAAUCCAUACCUCGAACAUGAACAGUUAGAAUGCUGCAAUAGGAGAAAGUUUGCACUCAUAAGGUUUUUAAAGAUUCAUGGUCAUAGGUUUUACAUACAUAUCCCUGCAACUGCAAAAUCAUCUAUUUGCAUAUAUACCCCUGUUAAACAAUGAAUUUUAGCAGCUCUCCAAAGUGUUGUUUCUUCCAAAAAUACCCCUGUUUUCAGUUGGGGUGUCAUUUAUUUCAUGGAGGUUUUGUAUUAGGAAGAUCUUUAAAGAGGGACAUUUUGUAAGUGGGAUAUACACAUAAGAAAUUUAAGGUUUUGAAGGGCAUGUACUUAUUUCAGAUUUUGCAGGACAAUUCUAUAUCUAAAAUGGAUUAUUUUAUAGGGUAUAAUGUAUGGAAACAGUAUGACUAAGUGGACCUGUGAGAGCGGCUACUUCUUUCGUUAAGAGCUGUUGAACCCACAGCCCUAUUUGCCUGUCCAAUUUCCAUCAAAUCCAGGACAUCUGAGGUUGAUUGAACAAGGUGCAAGCUUGCGUCAGGGACAACAAGCCCAUUAGGUUGGGAAGUACUCCAUAUCCCAAGUGUUUGAUCAUUAAGGAGAAUACAAAACCAUAAAUACAAAGAUCAGCCAUGCAUAUAAACUUAUAGAGCAAUGUGUAAGUAUACUUAAUAAAAGUGACAUAGAAAAACUCAAGCUGAAAGGCACCCAAUUUGUUGCAUGUUAGUUUUAAGAUCAAAGGAAGAAAAUAAUGAGUAUUCAUCUUUUGAACACAUGUAUCCAACAUAUUUAUAAGUCAUGAGAAUGUAUAUACUCAGUUGUAUAAACUGACAUAAAUAAAUUAUAUGUUAAUUUAGAAUAAAUGUACGGAAGGAUAUCUUUUCUGUGAAACAUCAUUUGAGAGGAGAUCACGAACUUGUUCGUUGUAUAUUUCAACCAUCUGAACUCCUACUUCAUACAAGAAUGUAUUUCUCCUACUCCCAGAAAUGUCAAAAAGGUCAUUUAGAGCCCGAUAGUUGACUCCCCAAUCUUCUUUUGAUGUGCCAGGCCCGCUCUAAAAUAAAAGUUCCAGAAAAGAAAAGGCAUUCUUAGUCAGUGAAACUAUACUAAUAAAACUGUAAGGAGAAAUUAAAUUUUAAAUCGAAAUGGAGAAUAGAACAGGUAUACCAUUGUGUAGGUUUUCCCUGACCCAGUUUGGCCAUAUGCAAAAAUGCAUACAUUGUAACCGUCAAGAACUGAUCGUAUUAAAGGCUGAAUAUCAGAGAAAACUUCCACUGCAGGUAUCAUUGGUGGAGUGUUAAGUAUAUCAUUAGGUCAGAUGCUUAUCUAUUAGUUAGUGAUUAUGUGAACAUAUGUAAAACAUCAUACCUGACAUAAAAUGGAUAGAACUAUCUAUCUAAAAACAAGACAUAACUUUUAACAAAUACAAGUCAAUAGUAAAAAAAUUAGAACCUUGAGAAGCAGCUGGGCAGAAAACCUUGUUAAACUUGAACAUCCGGUGUCCAUCUUUCCCUUGUUUAUAAGGAUUUGAAAUAAGAAGUUCGCCAUUCUCACCAAUAUAAUCAAUUGUUGUUGAUUUUUCAUUUUGACCAGGAAGAAACGGCCGUAUACGACAGUAUACUCUGAUAUUUCCUAUCAAAGCACAUUCAAAUUACCUCGAAAGAUGUAAGAAUAGUUAAGAGAUUCGAUUGGACAACUUUUCUUUAUUGGUGGAUUUUGCUAGUAGAUACCUUUCAAUUCCUGAACCUCAUUAAAUAGCUUCUGGUUCUGUGCAAGAAUUGUAUGGUAAUUUUCAGCAGCAUCAAUCAAGCCCUUCAGCCUUACUCCUGCAUACAAGUAUAAAUUAAUUUAUCUGAGUACACAUAUAAGAUGAAAGCAAGAAAAAGGAAAUAUAUCCAAAUCUCUUACCGAAGUUAGAUAUUUCGUCUGUCCACCUUUUUUGACAGUUUAUGACUUCUUGCUUGAUUGAUUCAGAUGACAUUUUUAGGUCCUGAUACAGUAAAGAUUUUACAUGUAAGUCGACAGCAAAAAUAAAAAGGAUAAAAUAAAGAUAAAAGGACAUCCGAACCUUCACUGAAUAUUGUUGAUUAUUUAUGAAAUGCUGGAAGGUUUGCUCCUUCUUUUUCCAGCUUUGCACCUUCACUUCUGAAAACACUUCAAGUUCUUCUAUUUUCUUCAUUGACUCUGAUAGAAGAGACUCAACCUCCUUAACUUGCUGAGUUAACUGUGCCUCGGACUCCUUUGCCUUAGUUUCAAGUUGCACACAACGAUGUUCAUACAUCUUAUUUUUCAUCUCCAUUUCCUCCUUAAGCUUUGAAAUCAUAAUGUCCGCAUCUUCUUUGUCCUUCAAGAGCCUAGCAAUUUCUUGCUCACCAAGUUGACUUUUCUCUUCAGUUUUCGACUUUUCUGCCUAGAAGACAAAAUAAUAAUAAUAAUAAUAAUAAUAAUGUAGCCCUUUUUUCUAUCUUUAAGAAAUCCUGACAAAAAAUUUUAUGAGCUUUUAAAAAAAUGGUAGCACAUGUUCCCUAAAAAAGAUGCAUUAAAGCAUGCUUUUCAAAAAUGAGCCAAAGCAAAAUUAAUAAUUUAGGACAACCACCUGCAAGAAUUUUGGUGUGAAGCAUAUUAGUGACUUAAAGACAAUUAUUAACAAACUCAGCGUCCAAAGAGCUAACCUAACUCAAAAGUUAAACACAAUGAACUGAUGAAGCAAGUUUCUAAAGUUAGAUAGAAGGGGUAAGAAUGAAACCUUUAUUAGCAGAAGCCGGUUCAUAACUAUCUGAAACAACAAGAACAAUAUAUAUUAUUCCUCUUGAGAAAGCUGAGCAUCUCAAAAUGUUCAAAAAUAUGGUUACUGUACCUGGUUUUCUUCAUUAGUACCAUCUACCAAUGUUUCAAGCGCAUUGAUUCUGGACCGAUACUUCUCUUCCCGUGUUUUUAUUAGAUUAUUUUGCUGCAGCAAAGCAGCCGUAAGGAAACAACAACAUAUUAAUUUUCUAACAGAACAAUAUGAAACACGUCUUACAUUUCUUGUAUGCCUUACAUUUCUUAUAUGCUCUGCUUGAGUAGAAAUACGCCGCUCAAUCUCUUGGACAACUUUUCUUAGUAAGUACACUACACGCUAGAGAAAUGAUAGAAUUGUAAGUCACUAAACCAAAAAAGAAGAGGUAAAAGAGUUAAACAAAACCUAACUGAAAGAAAAAACUCUAAUAAAAUUCUAGUGUGCUUUCAGAGAAAAUGCCAUAAAAGCUUGCUUAGUGACAUACAUGAGGUAUCUCUCCUUUCUUUCUUUCAACGCUUUCAUCCAGAAUACCAUUAACAACACUAAGAAGCGACCGAGUAGGGGCAUUCUGCAGCCAAAUAAUUAUCAUAAGAAAAUACGCCUAAAAAAUGAAUUAGUUCAGAAAUAUAUAGGGGUAUAGAGUAAAUUACAGAUCUUACGUCCAAACUAUUUGAAUGCAUCAUUUCUGAAAUUUUAGCAGCAGGAAGAUCAGAAUAAGAACCUCUCUUUAUUUGGAAAACUUCACGGAACUUACUUCCUGCAAGGUGAAAAGAUGCAGUUUGAUGGCUGUUCAAAUAAUAGAUUAUCCUUAAAACAUGAGCCCAUUAUAAAAAAUUUAGAAAAGUUAUAUGGGGUAUUUCAAAACAGCAAUUGAUAUCUUCUUGCAUAAGGCAAACAAGAAAUCAAUCAUGCUAAGAUAGUUAUAAAUUAGGCCGAGAGCUGAGGAGUUGACUGACUAAUAGAAGAUAACUUUUGAUGUUCCCACAGUUUGAAAUGUACAUUACUAUCAGUAUUCAGCCCUUAGAUUCCUUGUCUAAUCGAUCCUGUAAACAAGAUCAUAAUGGGAGGAAAGCCACUACGAAAGGCAAAACACUGCUGGAAAAUCAACAGGUUACAUGAGAUACAUAACCUUGAGAGGUGUCGUCAUAGAAACUAGCAUUAUUGUGCCACUUGCAUGAUUUCAAAUACAAGAGCACUUGUAUUGUGUUCCUAUAACCUAUUAUGCCACCCAUCAGACUGUAAAUAUAGGAUAAUUUCUACUCUAAGAAAUUAAAGAGGAGACUAUAAUUCCAGUCUAUAAGGGCAAUCAUAUGAUGCGCAACGCUUAAAUAGGCGUGUGCAUGCAAAGGAAAGAACUAAUAGCAACAAGAACAAUGAAAAUGAAGCAUGAAAGUCUGCUAACCGCCACAAUUAAGUUUUAGCUUGCAGCAAGUAAAUCUAUGUGCACACCUGAUGCAGCAGGACUUCGCGAAGUACUUUUCAACUUUGAUUCUGUCUGGCCCUUUCUUCUGCCUUCUGCAAACAUAUUAGAAAUUUGCUGAUCUUGAGUGCUGUCUCCUUGAUCAACACCUAGAGCUGUUGAUCUAUCUAUUUCCGGAAGUCUCCAUCUCUUUCUAAACUGGCCUCCAAUGUUACCCGCAUCAAGAAAGCCAUCUUCACCCAGCUCAGAAUGUAGGUGAUCCCUGAGGUUCAAAAGGCAUUCCACCACUGCAGACAUAGAUCCCUGAAAAUCGUUCCGAAUUGCAUAACAAUUAAUAAAUAAAAAUCGCUUACAAAUUAAAUUGAUACUUGUUUAGUGAGUGCAAAUUUGUUUUCACAAAUUUGACUGCAUGGAAAGAGAAAAAGAAAACCUGCUCCAGAUCCAUUAUACUGAAACCAGGUAAUCCCAUUUCAGCGAUAAUUGAAAGGAACCUCUUAACAUUGUUCAACUGCUGAUCAGAGGAAAAAAAAGCGCCCCGAGAACUCUGCAACAAAAGCUCAGACUGAAAUGGGCAUCAAGAUCUAACUAGCUUCAUUAAUCUACAACCACUUCAAUGGAGAAACAAGUUCCAUCACUCAAUUACCUCAACAACACCAGGAAUCAACCUGUUCAAAACACAACACAAUACAGUCCCAUCAUACAAUUGUUCUCUCAAUUCCUCUUCGGAGGCAUCGACCGGCACAUCAAAGUCCGGGAACAAGCUGUUCAACCAUUCUAACAAAUCUGCCCGGCGGCUCGCUGAGAACCACAAAACAAGGGGAAAACAUGUGAAAACAAGGUAAAAAUCCUAACUUUACUAGUCAAAUGAGAGGAAUUGAGCAAGAUAUACUGAAAACAAAGCGGAUCGCCUCACCUGCCUCAACCUCACUAUCAACACUCCCCAUGCUGUCUCUUCUCCAACUCGAUGCUUGGAGGCUCAUCGAGACAAUUUCACCAUUAAAGCACCUCUAGAUAAGAUACUAGUUAAUGCUGCAAGAAUCUAACACUACGGGAGAUGAGAGAUCUCCUCCAAAUCAACGACACCUCAAAAAAAACACCAAAUUGAAGCAUCUUCCCAGCAACGCCACACUACCGGAUUCAGACUUAUUCGAGUACUAUUUCAAAGAUCCGAGGUAUGCUACCACAGUUGAGCUUGGAUCUCACGAUUUCGGCGGUAGCCAGCAGCUUCAGAGACGAAAUCGCAAAUGCGGAAACCCUAGCGGAGAUCGCAAGUGUCGGCGCUUCUUUGAUUCGCCAAAUCCCCCUCGAGCUCUACCGCCACCUCCCCCUUCGUUCCUUUCCUCCUCCGCUUCCUCGUCUCCUUCCUCUCCCUCCCCCCUUCCUCGUCCUAACUCGCGCCCAUUACUAGUUUAUAGCAAUGGCGAGAGAGAGAGAGAGAGAGGGUUUUGGACACUCUUCAAUAACACUAAAACGGGAGCUUCUCUUUCUCUCUCUCUCUCUCUCUCUCCUCUUCUUCUUCUCUCCCUUUUUUGUUCUCUUUCCUGUGAACGCACCUUUUCUUUCGUUUUCUCCCGUUGUCUUUAACGGCGUUAACGUCGCCCCAGGCCGACGAGAAAAGCAUUGCAUGCACCGGGUGCAUACACCGAAAUCUCCAAAGCCCAAAUUUAACAUUUUAAAAUUUAAACCCACUCCUUAAAGCUUAUGUUUCAAAAAAAAAACAAAAUCAGAAUUUUUGGUAACUUUUCCUAUGGAUGGAAAAUUAGAUUUCUUAAAAUUAUCAAUUUUGCAACUAUUAAAAUAAAUAGUUUUUUAAAUAUUUUAUUUUAUUUUGGAGUUAGGGUACUCUAUUAUUAUAAAUAUGAUCACUUUCGUACUCAUAAAUUAUUUUUUAUGAUAAAACUUUCAAAUAAAUAAACAUAUCAUUAAAUAUAAUUUAAGGUAUUUAAAUAAAUUAGAAAUCAAAUUUUAUAAUUUAUUGACGUUAUAUACCUUAUGAUUAAAAUGUCUUAGAAUUGAUAAUUAUAAUAGCUUAUAUUAACGGUGUAGAAAAUCAAAAUCAGAUAAAUUUAAAAUAAAAAAUUUAUUUAUUUUUUAGAUCAAAAUAAAUAAUUCUAAUUUUAAAUUAAAAAUUUUGAUUUUGAUUUUUAUAAGAAUAUUUAAUUCUGACUGUUCAUUUUAUAGCAACUUGAUAGAUUUCAUUAUAAUUUUUAAAAAUUACGAAAUUCGAUAGUAAGGCAAUUUCGAUAUUCUAUAUCAUAUUUAACUACACGUAUCAUUAAAAAUAGGCGAAACUUCAAAUACCUCCCGUCGUUUCGCACUUUAUCACUUUAAUAUCUUAUGGUUUAAAAUGUAUCAAGUUAGUACCCUGUGAUUUCGCACUUUCUCACUUUAGUACCAUAUAGUUUCAAGUGUAUCAAGUUAGUACCCUAUGGUUUUAUUUUUUGUAUCAAGUUAGUAUCCCGUGGUUUCAAUUUUCUCUUUUUAUUAUUCAUUUCAGGAUAUAUAAUUUAAACAAAUAUUAAACCACAGAGUACUAAAGUGAGAAAGUGCGAAAUCACAAGGUACUAACUUGAUACACUUGAAACCACGGGGUACUAAAGUGAGAAAGUGUGAAACCACAGAGUACUAACUUGAUACACUUUAAACCAUAUGCUACUAAAGUGAGAAAGUGCGAAACCACGGGGGCUAUUUGAAGUUUCCCCUUAAAAAUAAUUUAUGAGUACACUUUAUAUUUUGUAUAUAAAUUAUUUCAAAACUUUUUAUAUAGGGACAAUUGUUUAUAUACCCUUGAAAAGUUUUUAACUUUCUGAUUUACCUUCUUAGAAAGCUAAUAUUAAAAAUAUCAUUUUUACAUUUCAACCUAUUUCAAAUUUAUUCUAAAUUUUAUUAAUAAAUUGUUAGUAAUAACUGUUAUCUCUAUAAAAUUAUUAUUUUGCUCUUUCAAAUAUACCCUUCUAUCAUUACCGAUUUUUUUUAUUUGCCGUUAAGUUAGGGGCACAAAAAGUAUUUUAUUUUUACUCUUUUCAAAUAUACCAUUCUAUUAUUACUAAUAUCUCUUAUAUGCCCUUAAGUUAAGGACAAAAGAGCAAUUUUAAUUUUUUUAACUCUGGUAGAUAUUUAACUCACGCUUAAUCUAAAUUAAUUUAAUGAUGGUAACUGUAGGAAUACUUUGGAAUUGCAGAGAAAUAUAUAAAGGAUAUAUUAGAAAGAAAAAAAAAGAUUAAAUAAAAUAUUUUCGAAGUUUUAAGAGAUAUGGAGGCAAUUAUUUCUUUUGUAGGGGCAAUUGCUUAAAUGAGUGGCGAUGUAUACAUACGUGGUGUACGCAAUAAUUUCAAGGGCCAAACGGCAUGCGUCCAACGACGAAACGACGUGCUCGUUUGAAUGUUUGAACUUGUACCGGCCUUAACAUUCAGUACCUAAAGUUUUGCCUUAUUUACGAGAAUGCCACGAUUCUUACUUUGGGGCUGUGUUGUGGUGUUUUAUCCAUGAUGGCAUUGGUGUAAAUUCGUGGUACUCUUGUGGCAGAGGUUAAGGAGGAGGUGGAGUCAAUAAAUAUAAAAACAGCAGGAUAACGGCAGCUGGCCAUCAGUGUGGAUGGACGGCACGUCGGAUUUGACGGCGUCAUAUAAUUUUUUUAUUUCUUUUUUUAGGUUCGGAAUUUUAAUUUAUUUCCCGCCUUUAAACACCUGUGUGGGCACCAUGUCUCAACAAUUAUUAAUUAAUUAAUACAUGGCAUUUUGGAUAUUUAUUUACAUGGGGCAUGGCCUAUGAACGUGCCAGUACUAUGGUUGACUAAGGCAGGUUAUGCACUAACGCCGUUAACUCUCUUUAACGGAGAGUAGUACCAGCUCAAAUCAAUGUUAAGGGGUUGUUUGGUGCGUGAAUUACAGGGUUGUUUGGUUCAUGAAUUACAGUUGUAAUUGCAUGGAGACGCAAAUAUUAUAUUUAUUUUAAUACAUUUGAAUUUAAUUAGAGUUGGGAGAUGAUUCCAUUGUGAUAGUUGAAACUAUGUUUAAAUUGAUUAUAAUUCAAAUUUUAUAUAUUUUUUUUAUCUGAAACUAAGUUUACCUGACUAAUCAUCUUGUAAAUAAAAAAAAAAAACUUUUCCUUCUAAAGUGGGGUAUUUUCACCAACCUCAUAUAUAAAGUGAUAAAAUUUUAUAAAUAUUAUUCUCAAUUACGUACAACUAAAUAAAUUAUUUAUAACUACAGUGUUUUCAUCUGCAUCUACUAAAACAAGAUGCAUGCAAUUAUAAGUAUUGAUCAACUUGUAAGAACUUGGGCCGGGCUGGGUUGGAGAUGGUCAACCAAAGUAACCAAAAACACUAGAAAGUUUGGGCCGGCCCAAUGAACCUGAUCCAACAAACCAAAAAAUGGGCUAGGCCGAGCAGGUCAAUCUAUAUAUAAAUAUAUAUAUACUAGUGAAGGAGUUUGCGCUUUACAGCGGAUAGAAACCGUAGUAGUAAUUAAUAAUAAAAAAAUAAUAAACAUUCUUUUGUGUAUCCUGCUUGGUAUAUCCACUAAAGGUCACGGCGGAAAAGGAAAGUGGCCGCACAUUAGUGAGAAAAAGGAAAGGGAGCGAGAAAAGAAGGCGAUGGUGUAUAGCAAAAAAUGAGAAAUAGAAAAUGGAUGAAUAUAUUAAAGAUAAAAAAAUUAAAAGUCCGGUAGAGAGAAGGAAAAAGGCCAUAAUGAAUAAUUAGAGAUAGAAAUAUUAGGAUUGUAGAUGGUAGUGGAAUCAUUUAAAUAUACUAAUUAGAAGUUUGGUAGUGAAAUCGUUUGUAUUAAUUGAAUAUAGUAAGACCAUUUAAACACACUAAUUAAAAAUUUGGUUAGUGAAACCGUUAAAAUGUAUAUUAAAAGUUUAGUGAAAGGAAGAAGAAAGAUCACAAGUUAGUGAGGGUAAUGGAGAACUUGCUACGUGGCAACAAACAUAGGAGAUUCAUAUAGGUUAACAGAUAUAUAUGACUAAAAGUAGAGUAUGACACAGCUUACACAAUUCAAAUACACUAUUUUUUUUUUUUUUGAGAAAUAGGUAGCAAGCUACCUGCUUCAUUCAUUAAGCAAAAUGAAUUUAGCAUACAUGAUGGAAGCAGCUAGGGCCUCCAGAUCGAACCGGCGACAGAGGAAAUAACUAAAAAAAACAAAAAAGGAACACAAAUAAACAUAGAAACCAACCAAACAGGACAACAAAUGUGCUUAGAGCAGCGGAUGAAAAAGUCCGGGACGGAUCAGAGUGUUUCGUUCCAAGCUCUGAUCAAAGAAGCGACGCGUUCGGAAGCCCAGAGAGCGUUAUGAGUCACAUCGCGGAAACAAAUACCAUUUCUCUCCGUCCAAACGACCCACCAGAUUGCCGCCAAAUGGGUUAAACAUUUCGAUCUAACUUCGGCAUCUGGAUUCUCGGAGAUCUGUGUCCAAAGCUCCCGAACAUUCCCCGCAUCCGAAUCAGCUGGCAUAACAGCACCUACUGUAAUUAGCAGAUAUCUGACAAAGAUACAAUCCAGGAAAAGGUGAUCGCAGGUUUCGGAUACGAACGCACAGAACUUGCAAAACUGGUCUACAGGGCAUCCUCGGCGUCUCAAUCUGUCCGUUGUGGGUAAUCUUUUUCGAAGGAGGAUCCAAACGAAAACUUUGUGCUUGAGCGGGAUUCUAAGCCCCCAAAGAUAAUCGUACAAAGGAUUAAUCUGUCCUCCGUCAGUGAUAAAAUCGUAGAGGGACUUAACAGUAAAAAUUUGGUUCUUGGUCCAUCUCCACUUUGGUUUGUCGUGUGUGUUCGAAGGGCUAAACUGAGCUAGUAGAGUUUUGAGCAGCGUAGUUUGAUGGCGGAUAAGGGAAGUGGAACUUGCCGCCAAACCUCUAGUAAUGAAGCGCCAUCUCCAUCCUCUUUCAUUCCAGCAUUGUGAGACCGUGGCUUCCUGAUUUGCAGUUCUGCAGAAAAUUUCAGGAAAUCUGGUACUAAGAGGGAUUUCGUCGAUCCAAAUGUCCGACCACCACCUAAUGAUUUUUCCGUCACCAAGAGCGUAAGUAAGACCACAUUUGAACAUUCCCUGACAGCUCAUCACACUUCUCCACCACUGGGAGUAAGGUCUGAAGGAUUUUCCCUCAUGCAACGGCCUCCUUCUAGUAUAAUAUAAAGUGGUGAUUAACCUCCCCCAUAACAGAUGCCUCUCAUUGAAGAAACGCCACCACCAUUUGGCUAAAAGAGCCUUAUUCACAGCGUGCAUAUCCUUAAUCCCCAGACCUCCUUCUUUUCUACUUUUACAUAUCGUUUUCCAUCCGACGAGGCAAGCCCCCCCUGAAAUUUUCGAGCACCCUUUCCAAAAGAAUGCUCUUCUGAGAGCUUCAAUGCGAUUCAGUACCCACUGCGGCACCUUGAAUAUUGCAAAGUAGAAUAACGGAAGAUUUGAAAGUACCGAAUUGACCAGGAUUAAUCUCCCCCCGUAGGAGAGGAGUUUUGCCUUCCAUCCGUCAAUGCGCUUCUCGAUGCGGUUAAGGAUCGGAGUCCAAUCAUCCUUUCGAAGGGAUUUAGUAUUGAGAGGCAACCCCAAGUAGCGAAAAGGUAGUUUGCCAACUCUACACCCCAAAAUAUCUGCGAGUCUUUUAGCUCUGUUUGCUGUGGUUCCGACGUGGUAAAGUUCAGUCUUGUUCAUAUUGAUCUUGAGCCCCGAGGCCCAUUCAAACAACUUCNGACCUGUCGAACUGACAUCAGCCUCGCACAGGAUCUAGUCGCCGCCCUCAGCUUGCUCGGGGAAUCCCUCUCCUUGCCGAGAAAAAGAUCAGUAGCCGGGGAAGAGAGACCGUCCCUUGAGGAGGCCCCCUCCUCACCUAACAGCGGAUCGAAAGCAGGGGGGGAAAAAAACUGUCCAUCAACGAACCCGAGCGGCGGACUCCAGAUCAGCGAGGAAUUCUCAUUGUCAUUCUCCAUGAUUUUUCCCGUAAAGUAGACCUCCCUCCCAUUUUCGCCUGGGCUCGGAUCUACUGCAUGAUCUCCAACAGCUGACCCGGGCGGCGAUGUGACGAUCGGCAUAACGGAAGUCUGAUAAGCCCCCCCACUACUAGCACCUUUUUCUCCUGGGACUGACUCUACUUCAGGCACCCGGAGGGCGACGCCUGCAGAUAUGUGGGUGGAGAAGCGCCCCACAUCCCAAACCCGGGAGCCAGAUACGAUGCAAGUUACCGCUGCGGACAGCGCGGAAAACUCUUCGCCGGUCUUCCAGGAGGGCCCCCAACCAGUGUGGCCCGAGAGAGAGAAAGUCCCGAGGAGGUCUGGGCUAACAGGAAUAACAGGCGGACUGAAUUGCGGAUGGGCUUCUGCAAAAUAGAUCAAUAAAGGUCCCCAACGGAACAUGCAACAGGCCUCGGGUCCGAGUGGGACUGAAGGGCCCAUCCCUUCUACAAAGGAAGUGUCGUGCCGGCCCAGCCCAGGACGAACAGCUUUCGGGCCCAUGAGGACCCACUGUUCGGGAAAGCAAAUGUCCAUCCCCGGCCCGGAGCUCGAGGAGGAUGUGUAGAUCUUCUAAGUCGAAGGUGACCGCUUUUUCCAAGCACAGUAAUAAAUACUCUGAUCUUUAAUAACAAGUCCACUUGGCUCCAAACUCUGACACGUUGACAAAGAAGCCUGAAGGAGAUCUUUUCCUUUUCCUAGAGCCUUCGAGGACGAACCGCCUGUCGCAAUUAAGCUUCGCCCCCUCUCCCCGUCAAUUCCUUCAAUUAAUGCGCCGUCAGCCUCAGCAAAAUUCAAAUUCCCGUCCGUUGUCCCACGCUUUCCGACGAUCGCCGGUCCCUUUUCGUCGUCGCCGCGCCGAUUGGAUUCUUCCGACGAGAGUGCGAUAUUUCUGCGCAGAGAGGAGUCCGGGAUGAUGACUUCCCGCCUUCUAUCCCGGAUUUCGGACGAAUUCCAAGAUGCUGCUGCGUCCGAGCUUGAAGAACCACCAGCCGAAGAUCGUCGCCCUCGUACCGACCCAGCAGAGCGGUGGGGGGGCUCGUGAUCUCUCAGCCCAGGAUCAUGCUGGUCCGUCCGUUCGUUGGGCGGAAUGCGGGGGUCGACAUAGUCGCGACGGCCCCAUCUCUCAAGCUGGAUGAGAACCGACAGCGAAUAGUCUCCCACCGUGAUCUCCAAAUUUUCCGGGAUGUCCGAUAGAAAAUUGACAGCAACGAGGCAUCUAUACCCUGUGAGAUCAACCAUGCGGUUCGAGAAGUCAUCGGCCCGGAUAAACCGUCCGAACCCGGUGACCAGCGCCGCCACCGUUCUAGAUGACCAACACUCAUAAGGUAAGCAAACAAGCCGGAUCCAAACAUUGUACGUUAACGAAGCCCUUCGCAACCCGGAGUACGGAUUCCAGGAAUAGCAUUGAAGCCUCAGAUUGUCCAACGACAAAAUCUCACGACGAACUAGCUGGGCAGCCGGCACCCAUUCCGGUAGGAAAAUCACAAAGUCGCGGGAACUAUACUUAGCGACAUGAAAAUCAGACGGGAGACCUCCGAAGCGAGCCGCCAGCCUGUUGGCUAUCGUCUCCUGAGGAAAAUGACCCAAAUUCCUUGGAGGGAGGACAUCCACCAGAAUCGCGUUGCGACAAUGGUUCUGCCUGGCGAAGAAGUCGUCUGUCUGUGGGACAAACGCGCUAAGGUAAGAAGGUCUGGCCCGCAUCUCCCUGUAAACCGCCAUUGGCAACCGAUCCAUGCAAGAUCUAGCAACGUGACCCGUCUUAUAGCACCGCGCACACCGGAGAGGCGCACGGCACCGUGACGCCCAGUGGUUAAGGCCCAGACACCUGAAACACUUGCCCGUAAAAAAAGAUUUGGGCGGGGUUUUGAAGGAGGGAAAGUAGAUGUCUCUCUGUGGGCGUCCACUGUCUCGCCGCGGAAUGGAAAUGGGUGUGAGAAGCGCCUCCUUGUAAGUCUUGUUUAUACUUGUCUUGUUUAUACCCAACGUUGCGGAGAGAUUAGGCUUCCCGAAACCCGUGUCAGAUACGGCGGUGUGGGUUAAAGCAAGCCCCUCCUCAUCAGCCCAACUCACCUUCUUGCCAGGGUUGGUACCUUCAAUAACUACAUGCCUCUUUCUGCCUUCAUUAACUCCAUUUAUCUUCCUGACCUCAUUAACUCCAUUCUUCUUGUAGGAGACUCAAAUACACUAUUUUAAUACACAAAUUAUUUGACUUUAGAAGUUCAAAUACAUAGGCAUAUACAGUCCAACCAGAGUAGUACAUCAGUUCAACUAUGAUAUUAUAACGGAUCAAACUUUUUAAGCUAAACUUCAAAUACCAUCCCUGUGGUUUCGUACUUUCUCACUUUAGUACCCUGUGAUUUAAAGUGUAUCAAUUUAAUAACCUGUGGUUUUAUUUUUCUCUUUUCGUCAGAUUUUUUUUCGUUAAAUCUGUAACUUCAAAUACCCACCUAGAUUUAUCGAAUAUUUACUUUAAUACCUUUUAGUUUUAACUUUGUUACAGAUUUAACGAAAAAAAAUCUGACGAAAAGAAAAAAAAUAAAACCACAAGGUACUAAAUUGAUACACUUUAAACCACAGGGUACUAAAGUGAGAAAGUACGAAACCACAAGGGUGGUAUUGGAAGUUUAUCCAACUUUUUAUUGAAAUCAAAAGUUACAUUUAUUCCAAAAGACUAUUGAUAGAAUAUUCUUUGCUGUAGCAAAACAUCCUGCAAACUGAUCUCACACGCCCGGGCGAGUUGCUCUUUCGGUAGGUCCAACCUGCCUUAACAACUAAAAGGCCAAUUUUGGUGAGUGACAAAUCGAAGAUAGAGAGAAAAAAAAAAUGUAGUUAAUUUACUCACAAGUGAGAGAGAGUAUAAAGGGUGAGAUAAGUGUAAAAUAGAAGAAAAAAGAUAAAAGAAAACCUGAAAAUAGGACUCCAGUUUCUGUCUAAGAGUGGUAUGCUCCCUCUUCAGUUUCUGAAACGAUCUCACGCAUCUACACAAUAGAAAAAUCUAAUUAUUGAGAUUGAAAUCGAGAGAGAGAGAGACAGAGAGAGAGUAGAGAGAGAGAGAGACCCUUCAAUAUUUUCUGCUUUGCAGUACUCCCUAAAGGUUGUGCAUUCAUUCUUCAUCCUAGAAGCACCAAUGCUGCACCAAAUUUAUUCAGUGCAUAAGGUCAAAUUCCAAGAAGCAUUUAGUAUUUAGAUAAUACAACAAUAUGACAAAAUGAAUAGCAUAGGAAUAAAAUUAAACAACUUCGAAUCAUAUGAUGUUGACAUGUGAAGUUCGUUAGAGAUUAUCAAGUAAAGAUGAGUUAAGAUACGGGGGAGAGGAUUGUGACUUGGGUGAGAGUCCAAUAUGAACAGGAAAACCACCUUUUAUUUCAGUUAAUACUCACAAAAGGCAAUGAUAAAAAAAAAAAAGGUAGAUCGCUGUACACCAGUUAUAAUCUUUUUGUGUGUGUGUAUGUGUGCGUGUGUGUGUGCGUGAAAUCACAACUAAAUUGAUUUUAUGCAUCAUCAGAAUAUGGUGAGGUGAUGUUUGGUGUUUUCUUCAAAACAAUCUGGAAUUCUUGUAUGCCUUAGACAUAUGCAGGAGAAAUAUAAGUCGUGGAAAUAUCAUACAUAAGAAUCAUAUUAUACAUGAAUAUAAUAUGAUUGGUACUGUGGAGAACAAUCCAUUGCUACCUGGAGCCACUGCCUUUCAACUGUUGCAUGUAAAUAUCCAGCUUGUUGAAAUCUUGAGGUUGCUUCUCCCUGCAUGGUGAUUAUACAAAUACUACUUAAUAUUUCUUUUACACCUCCUUUUGAUAAGUAUAGCUAGAAAAUUCCUAAUAUGGCUGAAUAGAAAAGUAGAUAUUUACAGAGCUAGCUCAAUGUUGGACGAUAGUCUAGCCGAAUCCCUGAAGAACAAGGUAACGACUUCUUCCACAAAGUUAGGGCUAGAGUCAUCCUGUAACUCUUCCAACUGAUAAAAUUGCUCAUCUAAAUACCCCUGCAACCAACGAACCAUGUUAUUUAUGUUACCCUGAUAUCUAUUUUUCCUGCACAUAUAAGUUAAUGUUAAAACAGAUCAGUGGCCUACUAUAUAUGUUAAGAAUCAUGAAAGUAGGCAUUCUCAGGAUAGUUUGAACGAGAUUGCAUAGUUCAUCAGUGCUUGGGAAAACAGAUUCUUAACUAGUCUCUUCGGAACUACCACAAGGAAAACUAGAAUAAUGAUUCCUGCUUUUCGGCGGAGAUCGAGUGUAGUGAUAGUUCCCAAAAAGGUGCCACACAUAGUGCUAGUAAUUAGAUUCUUGAUGUAACUAAGAUAAUACCUGAUCAAAGAGAUUUUUCUUCAUAGAAGCUGCCUGUCGACGCAAGUUAGCAUAUUCCAUAUUAUAUAGUUGCAAUACGAAAACAGAACAGGUUUAGUAUGGAUGGUGGAGAGCCCUAAGUUCCUUUAUAUAGCAGGAAAAGGAGGGGAGCUAAAGAAAAAAAAGAAAGAAAAGACUAAACAGGAUAUUUGCAUAUUGAGCAUGUAGGAUUUGCUUGCCACGAUAUUUUCACCAUCUGUCCAUUUUUCGGAUAGUGACCUGCACUUAAGGCCCUCUCUCUCGGGGUAUCUCUAUGCAUCGAAUCAGAAAAAGCAUCAUCACCUAAUCAAUUGAUCAAAAUUGCAGUUUGGUGUCUUCCUAUAUAAAUUAGGCGUGAAGCAUGAGUAGCACAUGCAAAUAUUAGCAUGCACUCUUAACUCUGACUGCAUAUACUAAUGUCUAAGAUUUUAAAACUCUGGAGGGUUGUAUGGUAAGUUCUACAUUAAUUGAUAUUCUGCAACUAAACUAUUCAGUUAACAAUCUGUAUUGGUUAAUGUUUCAGCUGAAUGCAAAAUAUUCUGACCCAUUUCCAGUUUGGAGCAGAUGUUUUUCUACCACUACCAGCCUAAGCCACAAUCUGUCCCCUUUCCCCUUAAAGGAUGAAGUUAUUUGGUAUACACCGCAGGUUUGAACAGAUGGCAAAUAGUGUGGACUGAAUUGAAGUUGCUGCUAAUAAUUUGGCCUUGACUCCUCGCAUUUGAAUGUUAGCUGGUUAAAGGUCCCAAUCAGAGCAGUAAAUACAAUUUAACAUUCUCUCAUCAUCGAUUCCCCAUUCCUCAUACUCGAUAGCUGGUUCUUUCCUUUCCAAUCUUGACCGUUUAGCCUACUUUUACUGAUGCUUCUACGAGCAACAACCUCUUUUGAGCACUUGGCAAAACAAACAAAGAGACAAAUUUGGAACACCUGUUGCAGAGGGAAGCAAAAAUGAGAUUUAAGCCUGAAAAGGGAAAACUCUAAUCUGAAACUUAUAAUUCUGCUCAAGAGGCAAGACUAGUGAUAGUGUUAGUGUUUCUCCUAAUAGCACCACUCAGGCAGCAGUGCUUAAUCAAAUAGCACUACAUCAUAUAGCAGGGCCGAAUUUGGUCCACAGCGUAAGGAUUGUCUGUUUCACAACUACGAUACUUUGUUGAGACAGUCUCCAAUAUUCUCCAGCUCAAUACCUGAUUGCAGCUGGUAUUUAUGUGAACUUUUCGGAUGAUGACGGUAAGGAUUAAGGGAGAAAAACAGAAUAAGAACCAAAAGUAGAAAUAAAAUCACCACUAAACAGAAGAUGCUAUCGCCUCCAUCCGUUCACAUCACACAAACAACAUUAUGCAAUAAGCUUUAAAGGCAUAUUGUUCACAGACUCAGAAAGGACUAACUAACAACAUGAAUUGUCAAAAACAGAACUAGAAAAAUAGUGAAUGAGUAGAGAAAAUUUAAAUGACAAAACAAAGUUCUUUUCAUGCUUCUCAAAGUUCAAGCAUUAUGGCAAACUACAAAAAUAACAGGAUAGAAAGAGAAUAACUUAAAAGAAUGCCUCUACUUUAUUCCUUGCCCGCAGCAGAUAGGACAAGGAAAAUAUCAUCUUUCAAAGUAUAGUAGUGUCAGUUCGUUCGAGCAUUGAAACAUUCAAGGAUUCAUUUAAUGAUUGGUUCAACGGUUGCAAUUCUUCAUUCCCGUCACUACUGCAUGUCGAGAGAGAAUCCAUCAUGGAAUGAUAGAACCAAGUGACAAAUUGUUAGAAUAAAGGCGGAAAAGAUAUAGUUCGUCGGGUGCGAAAAUACCAAACAGAUCCGUGAAAGAGAGAAAAAAAAUAAAGCACAUAAUAUUUACGUGGUUCGGCCACCGGCCUACGUUCACGGGCGAAGACGGAGCGGAGAUCUUCAUUAUAAUCAAAGUGGUGUACAAAAUAUGCCUCUCUCACAAAAUUCUAAUUUAAAAAAUACACCCAUACUCUCUCUCUCAUCGGUCGCAUCAAAUCAAUGGAAUAAAAGGUAUAUUAUAAUAGUGGCUAAAUCCUAAUAAGAUUAGGAUUACAAAUCCACUAAGACUAAGAAUAUCUUAAUUAGAUUAGGCAUAAUCUAAACUUAACUUAAUGGAAUAAUCAAAAUAGAAUAGGGUUAGAAAACCUUGCGGUACUAGAAUUCGAGACAUAUCUAACACAAAUCUUGGCCAGGGGAAAGGAUGAAAAGUGCAAAUUCAAGGCUGGCUCGAACUAUAACCAUGAAAUUUGAUCUCUGCAAAUAUAUCUGAUCACUUUUGACAAAGAACAUUGGACCAGCUCUGAAUGAAAAUGAGAAAACCUGAAACAAAUUCGCAUUUUUCAUCCUUUCCUCUUACCCAUAUCUUUCAUUUGGUUCUAUCAUUACACGCUGGAUUCUCUGUCGACAUGCGGUGGCGACGGGAAUGAAGGACCGCAAUCAUCGGACCAAUGAUUGAAAGAAUCUUUUUUAUUCCUAUUUGUAUAAGUUGUGGAAAGCUCCAAUGAUACUAUGCUGAGCAUCAAAUAAAAGUUGUUACAACAAAAAACCACUAUUAGGCUAUUAGCUCAUUAGAACUAUUUCUGCUUCUUUGCCUUGCACAUACUUUUGCGAGAUUCAAAAUUGGAAUUAGGCUGGAAUACUAUUAAUAAUAAAACGCUCUUUUUACUAUCAAAUUUUUAACCGUUGGAUGAAAAAUUUUAGAGUCAGGAUGAUAUUAGUCGGUUAGAGUUGAGUGGUCCCCCUAGGGUUGAGUGGUCCCUACUGGGUUAUAGUAUUUAAUCCAAUGGUUAGAAAUAAUGAAAAGAGUUGAUCCAAAGGCUAAAAAACUGAUAGUAACAAUGGGAUUUUGCUACUAAUAGUAGCCCCGUCCAACUCUUCAAAAUUGAUAAUUAUUGAUGAUAUGACAUGCCACAUAGUGUACCAAUCCAACUCACUAAUACUAAUAACUCGCAAAAUACUUAACAAAUCGGCUACGAUACCAAACGUACCAAUAACGCAGUUGCAUACAAAUCACUGGCCUAAAAUGCAUAAGCCUUAAUAAAAUUCUUAGUCCCUAUAUAUCCAAUCAUAAUAAUUUUUUUAUCCAAUUCGAGGCUACUGGGAGGUGUCGUAGAUAUAUCAACAUUGCCAUAGAAAACAACAUGUUAAAGAGAGUCGCGGAAAGAUACAAGGUUAAGCACAAACUAUAUACUCAGAAGAUACCUUGAAAGAGGGACUUCCACGCUACAUAUCCAUUCGCUCAUCUCAUCGUCGAAUCUCUCUACGUGGUGCGUUAUAAGAACACAAAAAUGGGGAACGAAUCAUUAGCAUGCGUGUCGAUACCUAUCCCAGUGGGGAGAGAGUCGCGGCGUGGGGGACGAAGAGGAUGCACCCCGAGUGGGAGGAAGCCUAUGGGCCUCACAAUUUAGGCCCAUGUUCACUUUACGGCCCAAAUAGAAAUGGGUCGCACUAGUGGAUCACAAAGAGCCCUUCGUAUUCGUAAGUAAUUUUUUAUGAUAGAGCUUCCAAUUCAAUGAUCCGCUCUGUUAAAUAUGAUUUUGAGUAUUUAAAAUUUUGAAAAAAUAAAUUUUGUAAUUUUUCAAAUCAGAAUAAAGUCAAUCAAGCGGAUAUAAAGUGAACGAUCCAAAUCGAAUGACGUGCUAAAAAUAGAUGAUCGGAUUCUUCAAUUUAAGAUCAAAGCUAUUGAUCUUUAUGUAGAUAGUGAAUAGAGUUUUCUAUAAAAAAUUCAACCGAUUCUUAUUUUUUUAUACCGUUGAAUUAGCAAGUAUGGAAUAUCGGCCGUUAAAAAUAAUCAAUUUCAAUAUCUUUUAAAGAUAUAAAGUAAAUAAUAUCAAAAAAUUUUAAAUACUCUAGAUAAUGUUUAACCAUAUGGAUCAUCAAUUUGAAAGUCUUAAUAUUAAAAAAGUCUUAAUAUCAAAAUUAACAAGAGGAUAGUAACUGAACUUACAAUAUUAAAACCUUCUGAUGUACUGUUACCGUACAGUAUGAAGAUUUUCCGUGCAGCUGUGAGCAGGAAUUAAAAUAAUCUCACAACUUUGAUACCGAACCUAAUGCCAGCGUCUAAAAAAAAAAAAAAAAAAAUAUUUGUGAUUUUCACGAGCUUAACUUCACCCCACAUCAUACCAAAAUUAAAAGACCGACAUUUCAUACAAUUGUGAAUAGAAGUUUGAAUAAUUCCCGGAACGAUGAUGUCAAAACAAAUGCCAACGCGUGCAACUUUCUCGAAGUCAUAAUUUCAACUUCUGAAGCCCACAAAAACAAAUAGAUCUCAACUUCACCUUAACCAACCCAGCGCCGGGAAAGAACAUAAAGAAACCCUGAAAACGCACACGCACACGCACACUGCACAAUCAGAGACCAUUCCAAAACGACAAAGUAGCGCAAACAAAAAGUUUAUUUUUAAAUCCCAUAUCUGCCAACAGACACAGCAGAAUAACUAGAAGGCAGCAACUAGCUCAACAAUAACUGCAUUAUUACAUCUUACAAAACCAGCAAGUACCUGCAGUGCUCUUUCUUAUAUUUUCUACAAAAUUGUAAACAAGUUACUUCAUCUGUAGCUACGGUAAACGGGGGUGUACAUGCAACUCACUGCAUAUUUCACCAGGUCUUUCGGGCGAGGAAGCCGACUCGCUAAACCUGUAUGAUAUGCGCAAGAGAAUGAGACACUGUGAGCAGAAAAAUUAUUAAAAACAAAUGUAUAUGUUCGGGAAAGAAAACGUACCAAGUUCGUAUGCUUUCGCAGCUACAUUAGCAGCUAUGUUUGCGGAUAUCUUCCUGAUAUUCAGGAAGGGCGGGUAGAUCAGCCCUUUCUCAAAGUUCUCUUUCGUUACCUGGUGCCCCAGCGCCUCAGCUGUUCCAAUGGAAAAAAAGAAUAAAUAAAGAUGAUCAGAACAGGAAAAUUCAAUACAAUUCAAACAGUUUCAAAGCUUUAACCAGUUCAUUUUCUUUUUUUUCUAAAAAAACUCUGGAAUAGCACUAGUUUUAAGGCACUUCCAGGAGAUAGUAAAUGGCAUAACCAACUGUGAAAGCCCAUUCAUAUUCGUCUGUCGGAGAAACUUUGACAGACAAAUGGAUGACCAUGUCAGUAGAAUAAUCUGAACUAUCUCCUUCUACGAGAAUAUUUGUUGGAGCUAUAUGAUUUGUGAUAUUAAAGCUUCCGAAUAUAUAUAGAUGUGGUUUGUAAUUUUCGCUUUUUAUGACCAAUAAUAUACACCUCAACAAAUUUGUAGUGAUUUCUUUAUGUUUUUGUGUUCUUUCAGUUGAGAAAUUACAUGUGCAAUGAAUAUAUAUAAAUACAUAGUUAAGUAUACGAAGACCAUGGUAAACAUUAGUUUCUGCAAGUUUUGUUGCUUACAGGCAGCGAGAAGCAUCUCAUCAUGCACGCGUAUCGCUCCCGAUAUCACCAAACCAAGACCAAAUCCUGGGAAAAUGUAAGCAUUGUUUGCCUGCGUAGAUUGUGAAGAGGCAGCAACAUCAUAUCAAAUUUAGCCAUUUGAACGAACUCGCAAGGAGUUUUCAAAAGUUUUAAAAGCAAAAUGGAGGAAGUUCAAACCUGGCCAGGCACAUACUUCUUGCCAUUGUAUUCGACUGGAUCAAACGGACUGCCACUAGCAAAUAAUGCUCGACCCUGGGGACCAUAUUUCAGUGUUGAAGAGACGAUCGAUAAGAAUUUUAUAGUACUUUUGUUCAAAUUAUAAAUAAACAGUUAUGAGGGCACCAAAGGGAGAAUUACUACCUUACUCCAUGUAUAUGCUUGUUCAGCAGUACAUUCAGAUUGCGAAGUCGGAUUUGAUAGAGCAAGAAUCACGGGCUUCUGUAUUUGAUAAAACGACAAUUAGUAGGUCUAAACUUUAUCAGUGGCUCCAGAUAAUAGUUAAAGAAACGUGCAAAAACUCUAAUGUAGAGAAUUGGAAGUUACCUCAUUAAAAGAGGUCAUGGCUUCAAUUACUUCUUGUGUGAAAGCUUGGCCGACACCAGCUGACCCUAUCAGGACUGUCGGCUUAAUAGCCUUAAGAAACAAAAGAAGGAAAGUUAGUGUAUGUCACUAACUGUUGAAGUUUGAUUGUUAAGAACCACAUACUAACAAAUUAAGAGAGAGAGAGAGAGAGAGAAAGAGAGAGAGAGAGAGAGAGAGAGAGAGAGAGGAAAUUUUUGUAGAUGUUUUAGAAGACUUUGCAGUUUGCACCUCGAUGGCAUCUAAGAGGUUCUUCACCGGUUCAUGUUCGUGUGCGUAAGAUUUCUUGAACUGUGGAAGAGAUUCCUUGCGAGAGCUAACGAUCAAACCCUAUCAUAUGAAAAAUUCUCUCUUCAUUGAACUAGCAAAAUGAUGAAAAUAGAAGGCUAAAUUAUAAGUGUUCUGUUAAAGCAGGCUAAAUAUAUUUCUUAAAAUCAACCUUAGAGUCCACAAGCCAAAUCUUCUUGCGGCUCUCUUCCGUUGAGGCCUUUGCCUGAAAGGAUCACAAUCAAUCAUUUAUCGUAUCCAGUUUGACUCAGAUUAUAGAGCACAUGGAAAAGCAGAGAAGUAGAUUUCAAAUAAGUGAGAAGCUUGACAGAAUAAGUUGCAUUACCUGCUUAGAAAUCGCAAGAGCUAUCAGCUCAGCAAUACCUGUCCCAGCCUACAAGAACCAACAUUCAGCAUUUUCUGAUCUAGAUGAAGAUAAUAGAACUUAAAAAAAAAAAUUUAAAAAAAAGAAAGAAAUCACAGGGUACAGCAACAAACAUAAUGCAUUUAGACUGACAGAUAGGGAAAUGUUGCAAUGGCAUUAUACUAUGACACAAGAACAUCAAAGAAACAUCAGGGCAAAACAUAUUUAGUCAAUCAUGAUCGAUCCACAUAUUUCGUUACUCUACAAACAGUACCAUGAAUCAAGAGUUCUAUUCCAAAGAGGCUAAGGGGAAGAAUUCAACAGUGGAAAAGAUACCAACCUCUCCGGCACCGAAAAACAAAAAUGUGUGCUCUGCUAAGGUUCCCCCGACCAACCUCAGAGCAGCAACAACCCCUGCAAGGACAACAGCAGCUGUGCCCUGCAACACAGAUAGUACCAUUAUAAGUUUUUUUUUUAAGGAGUAAUAAAGCUUGCAACUGAUUGUUCAUCAGCUAUAACGAUGUUUUACGAAGGAAGAGAUCCUGUCCUACUACCUGAAUAUCAUCAUUGAAGACAAGAUGGGUCGUGCGAUAUUUCUCAAGAAGGUAAAAUGCGUUGUGGUUGGCGAAAUCUUCAAACUGGGAAUGGUAAUUCAAUUCAAAGAGACACGGAUGAAUUUUAUUUUAACUCAAAUGAAAAAGGAAUUCAGUAUUUAGAAAUGAGAACAUCUGUUUUCUCGAAAGCAUAUCUCAUACCUGAAUGAGCACAUUUUCCCCAUAGUUCUGCUUAACGGCAGCCAUGAAUUCAUGCAAAAAGUCACUAUACUCCUGAUUUAACAGAUAAGAAGAUCAUUGAUCAGAAUUCUAAUAAGAACAUUGUAGGAAUCAAUCUAGAAGAGAGACCACACCUGGCCAGUAGCUCUUCUUUGCCUCAACCCUAUAUAGAACUCAUUCUUUAACAAGUCCUCGUUGUUCGUUCCCACAUCAAUCGUAAUUGGUAAGCACUGUAAUGUAAAGAAUUAUCUAAAUACUGCGCGACAGAUGAUUACAACUUCUUAUUGACAGUAACUAUUAAAGUUAAAUGCGAAAUGCUCACAGCUGACGGACGAACUCCUCCAAGAGCAGUGUAAAGAGCAAGCUUGCCGACAGGGAUUCCCAUUCCCUAUUUUAUCCAGCAAAUAUAUACUUGAAUCAGUGAUCAAUUUAGUGAAUUUCUCAUGCUAAAAUCUAGAGAGUAAAAAAAGUACCUGGCAACCAAGAUCUCCAAGACCCAAAAUACGCUCGCCGUCAGUGACGACAAUAACCUGAAUGCUCUUCUCAGGCCAGUUUUUCAGCACCUCAAGUAUCUUCCCUCUACAACAAGAAUCAGCUCCUCAAGUUAAUGGCAAUAUUAAAAUGCGCUGAUAAUAUAAAGAUGGGGACAAGAGAUAACAUCUUACUUCUCCUUCAAGCUAAUAUAAAGACCCUGCGGACGCCUAAAAAUGGAUCCAUACUUCUGGCAGGCCUCACCGACCGUCGGCGUGUAAACAACCGGAAGCAACUCCUCGACAUUGUCAAUAAGCAGCUUGUAGAAAAGCCUCUCAUUCCUCUCCUGAUAAAUAUAUCAUUACAUAUGAGAACAAUAUAUCAACCACACGUAAUUUGGUCAUGCAUCUUAAAUCUAAUAUGCGGAAUACACGCAAAAUCUAGAUUUUAGCGCUGCCUCUCAGAUUUGAAUUUGCAGGGCAACAUAUAGAUAUGAACCGAGUUGGAGCAAAGACAUAUAGAGAUAUGCUGAGAUAUUUUUGAGAGAUAGGUAGCAUGCUACCCGUUUCGUUUAUUUCUUUUAGAAAUAAACUUAGCUGGAAAUUUGAAUCAACUAGGAUUCGAACUUGAGACCUCGGAUACCAACCACCAAGCCCUUUGCCACUUCCGUCAGGAACAAUUGGUAAUAUGCUAGUCGGUGAUAUGCUGAGAUAUGUUUCUCUGUUUUCUAGCGGGACUAUAGAAAAUAUAUCGUAACAGCCUCAUUGCAAUACGCCGAACAUGAUAUUAUGUACGAAAACAAAUAAAAUAUUUUUUUAACGUACUUUUUCACAGUACGUAACACAAUCUUAAACUUUGUAAUAUAUACGUUGAAAGGUGUAGAGUACCUGGAGGUCCAUCAUGGCCAUGUAACGCUGCAGCGGAACCUCGUAAUGGCGAAGGUUGUGCAUGAGCUUCUUCUCCUGCGAGAAUAAGUGUUCUCACAAUUAUUGACAACACAUAUAUAACAUAUAUGUUAAGACUAGCAGAAAUGGUUUACGAGCAUAGAGAGACGGCCGAACAAACCUGAGUCUCUUGCGUCGCGAUCGCCGGCGGCAAGAGGCCGCGCAGGUAGUGAGCAUCUCUCUCUUUCUCCGUAAACGCGAGCCCUUUGUUGUGGUGUGGAUCCCUCAAUAAGGUGUAACCACUAACACGGGAAGAAGCUCAUUGAACAAGGCAUUUUAAGAUAAAAAAGUUUCUCAAAGUAUUACCAAUUUUUGUAUACAUGCAAAGUAAAUAGUCCAGCAAAAUAAGCUAACAUAUAUAACUGCUUAAUUACACCACAAGAGAAAAAUGUUACUCUCUUAUUCAAACUGAAAGAGCUUAAAAAUUGAGUACAUAAAUAUGAAAAAAAAAAAAAAUUCUCGUAUUUUCAUUGUUGCUUGCUUGCAAUAUAUUUCGGCUAAAUAAUAAAUAUAAAUAGUAAUUAUUUAAUAGAAAUUUAAGAUAAAAUUAAACUGUUUUUUUUUCUAGAGUGCAAAAAUUGUAAAAUAAAUAUUUUUAAAAAAUGAAAAAAAGGGAAUUAACAAAGAAAUUAAGUAGAGAGAGAGAGAGAGAGAGAGCUUAACACACCUAGCGACGGAGACGGUCCAGGGAGUGAUGAGUUGGUCCUCGGUGGCGCGAUCCUCGCCGUACACGUCCUCCACCCCACCCCCCACCGUGCUCGUCGGAUCCACCUCCAUUUCUCUCCCUCGAUCCCCUCCUCUCCGAUCACACAGAUAUUAUUAUUAUUAUUAUUAAUUAAGGAUUAAUAGUUAAUAAUAAUAAAAAUAAAUAAUAAUUACAAAAUUAAUAAUAAUUAAUAGUGCUGGUAUGAGUAAAGAGGUCUCACUAGCUACCUCGCUCUUUUAUAACACCAACGAGUUGCGACGUGGCAUAGCAUUUAUUUUCUAAAAUAAAAAUUAAAGUUGCACGUGGCGGAGCGCGGGGUGAAAAGAGGGAACAUGAUUAAUUAAUUUUACACACAACAACGGAAGUGUUUAGAAGUGUGUUACUUUUUUUAUAAUCCUCAUCUUCGUCGCUAAUCACUGGUAUUAAUGUAAUGUAAUGUAAUAUAAUAUUUGUAGUUAGGAAGAGAGAGAGAGGCGUACGUGGCCGCGCAUGGGGUUUCGCAGGUUAAAGUCCACGUGGCACCUGGACUGGUCGCCGCGGUGGUCGACGAUGACUCGAACAAGAAGCGGUGCUCUUUUGGUGCUUUGUAGAGUUGGCCAACUUUGACCGCAAAUAAGGCAUAAAUUUUAUAUAAAAAUAAAUAUUUUUAUAUUAUCUUUAUUAAAUAUAAAAACAUAAAAAUAACUUUUUGUACAAGCUAAAACGUUUAUGGAGAAUAACAGUUUUUUAAUAUGAUUUAACAUGGUAUUAAAAUAAGGGACCGUAAAUUUGCAUCUAUCCGGAUUUCUAACAUAAUUUAUUUUCUCCCAUUUAAUUAAAAUGCAUGUUACAAGCCUAUAAAAAAAUUUUCAGGUUAAAUAUAGAAAUAUAUAAAUGCCAUCUUUUAUGGGCUUAAGUUUUUGAAAAAUAAGAAUUGCUUUGUACAACUCAACAAUAUAUAGUGUACUUUGAACGAAAAAGAUAUAAAAUUUAUAUUCACUUUUUUAGAUGUAUAAAUAUAAAUAGCGGAGUCCGGCUACAAUGCUAUCGAUAGCACUUGGUGCUAUUAAAUUUUCUGUUGUUAGAUAAACUCCUUUCAUCAUUUUCAUUUGUUAGAUCAUACUAUUUAACCAACCACCCAAUCAACUCUAGGAAGCCACUAUCAUCAUAAUCGUACAUCACUUCAUCCAAAGACCGAAAACUUAAUAGCACCACUGACUUGGUGCUAUUAAUAGUAUCCUAGCCUAAUUUUACAUAGCAUUAUAUUAUAUCUUAAAUCAAUUAUACAGUGUUAUAUAAGAUGCUAGAGAGUCUAAAUAGAAAAGAUAUGAUAAUAUUAUAUUGAAAUAAUAUUUUAAAAAAGUAUUUGUUAUUAUACUUUUUUUAAAUGUUAGAUGGAAUAGUGUUGCGUAAAAAUAAUAAUUUUCUAAUAUAAGAUCAAUACAUCUCUUAUUUAAGCCAUUUUGUCACCGUUUGGUUCGAGGUUAAGUAAAAGCUUGUUAUUCCAGAGAUAGGAUUAAGUUCAGAGUUAAGGUGGAAUUAGAGUAAUUUUAUAUUUGGUUGAGAAUUACGUUUAGUUCAGAUACAGAUAAAAUAGUGUUUGGUUGGAGUAGAUGGUAUAAAAACAAUAGUGGGUAAAAUAUUAUUUUAUUUGGUUGAAGUAGUGAGGUGGGGCCCCACCCGCCAAAUUAGAUGUUUGGAAAUAACUUCGGGGUUAAGGAGUUAUUCUAUCUUUAAUUCCGAACCAAAUGGGUGCUUUAAGAUUUGUGUCGUCGCGUUAAACCCAACCCAUCAAUUUUUUUUUU